GUGAUUUUUUUUUGUAAUAUUCUCAUGGGAUAGACUGAAAAGGAACUAGUGGCAUGAAUCGUUCAUGCAUCAGCAGAAUGCCUGUUUUAUACAAUAAUUUAACAUCUCACACAUAUGGGUGACUGAAAAAGGACUAGUGAUCUUUUCGCAAAUCACUGAAAUAUAUAUUAGGAUGGUUGGAGAAAAGUCCCAAGUGAAGAUUAAUACGUAGAGAAUAACCAGGUUGCAAUCCAUCCGGUGUGCUGCGUACGUGCUGUUAUCGUUGUUGGCUGGAUCGAUCCGAUCAAAAGUCCUUCCAAAAGCGCAGCAGAUAUACGUACGCACUCGGCAAACCGAAAAAGCGCACAAGGCAGAUCACAAAAAAGCACGAAACUACAGCGCACUCAAGAUAGUAUGAAACUACAGGGCACCGAAGAUAAAAAGAGGCCAGACUCUCUGAGUUUACUAGACACACAGUGACCCUGAUUGCUCACCCACUUUCCCUCGCAAAAGAAGAAAAAAAGAAUGCUCACCCCUUCCCUAUUUUCUAGAAAUUAAUUACAUUUAGGUCACUUCCACAAUUACAUUUAGGUCACUUCCACUCCGGGUGUGGUCGUGUCUGACAAUUUUAUUGAAAUCCAAGAAAUGAACAGUCCAAGAAAUAAUAUGCAUAAGCAUGCGUAUCAUUGCAUUAAGAUGAAGCGGCAAAGAAGCCGAAUACAACGUCUUUCGGUCAUUAUAAGCUAAUCACAAGGAUUAGCAGCCACACCCACGAACAAGCACUACGAAACAUGCUACACCUAGACCAACCUCAUGCCAAUGGCGAUGAGGCGAGCCACAUAGCGACCAAGUGUCACAACUAACGCCGGAGACAUCUAUAACAUGACCAAGACUCGAGAACAACACAGACCAACGUAUGCAACCCAUUGCGCCAAGAGAAAGUCGACAAGUGAACGGCAGAGCCUGGGCGCACCUUAAGAAGGCGUCGCCGAGAGAGCACAAGCGAUGGUGUACAUUGAGGCCCAGAGACCCACCCCAAGAGCAGUAGCCGACACCGAUUCAAGCCGCACCACCGGACUCCUCGAGAAAGCAAGACGACACCUCCAAAAAGGGCACAACAUGAUGACACCGCCGCCACCUAGUUUGGAAGCCAGACCAAAGUUUCCCCCAAGCACGAGAAAGUGAGUCAGACCAGGGCCAAAACAACGCCUCUAGGGAGGGGACGCUGCCCAAGGGCGUCGUCGUUGUCAGCCUCAGCCAUCAUGAAGCAGGGAUUUCUCCCAACAGACGAUCAUCGAGCCCAAAGUCCAUCGGAGCUGCUCAAGCAUGCUAGCCACCGCACCGGGAGGAGUCGCAUCGCAUCUCGAAGCACAUUACCCGCCACCAUCAAUCUAGCCAGGAACACCACUACCAAACCACUGCAUCCCGCAGCACAUCAUCCGCCACCAUCAAUCCAGCCAGGAACACCACCCAAAAAAUACAGCUUUCGAAGCACGUCAUCUGCCGCCACCAAGCCAUCGAGCAACACAGCCCCAACCGAAAUGAUCAGGGCGCCGGGGCCCCAAUCCAUGGCUCCACCGCUCACCAUGGCCAACCUGGAGGAGCCCAAGCCCAUCCACCGUGGCCGACCAUCGCCAAAACCACCUCUGCAGGCACCCAGAUCCGGGCCAUCCACAGGCUGCCGCGAGGCCACCAUCCAGCGUAGCCCUACUGCUAAGAGGGACGCCUCCUCGCAAGCAGCACCGACCUCCUGACCGAUGCGCACCACCGGCCGCCGCAAGAUGCACUCCGAGAUACUAGCAGCCAACCGAAGCGAGACGCCCCGCCGCCACCUUCCUAGGGCACGCGCGACUUCGUCGGCGUCCACUCCGGUGGCUUCCAUUUGCUGCCGUCCAAAUUGAGACUUCUUUCUUCAGUAAUUGUGAAGAAACCGGGGCAUUUCAAAUUUUCAAUUGCAUGCACGUACAUCUAGCUCAAAACUUAUUUUCCACAACAGUGAAUUGCUUAUCUCUUUUUCUUUCCAUGCACAACACAAAAUAUCAAAUAUGCUACCGUUGUUAGGUAUAGCUAUAAAACAUUGCCAAAUCGCACUUCUUGUUGGUUAGUUGUAGUACUGGUGCCCGGGCCGAAAGCUAUAAAAUCUCCCUUUUGAAAAACAGAAACUUCACUCUGGUGACUACGCAAUGGGUUCACAUAGAAACAAUCUGUUCAUCAACAAUUUGUGCAUCCCCGAUCGAGUAAUGAACUAAUGAUGCAACUUUUUUGUUCGGGCAUAAGACAACUUAGAGAGGAAUAUAGUUUUAGCAUAGAAACCACACAAGUUAUGGCAUUUUCAAAUAAAAGGUUCAGUGUAAUACAGAGGGAAGACAUUCAUUUAUAAAUAAUGUUGUACAAGGAGUAGAAACAAAUUAAGCUGUGAGACGAGAGGUCUUGUUGCCGUCCUCGACCGAUGGUAAAGGAAAACCAUUGCUAGAGCGAAUUUCUGUGAGCCACCACUGUAUCGACACGCAUCACCGUAAAGGAACCUAGCUAGCUGUGAGGUCUUGAUCGAUAGAUUCACUUGGCGUGGAUCGCCCACUAUUCGCAUCGCGUCUCUCGUCAUGUCAGUGUGGGUUGCUAAAGCACAUCCGGGUAAGAAAAAGGGACUGUUCACCACCGGCAGUUCUUGACGUUGAGGAGACAACAGAAUGGUGAUUCAUGAUGAUUGAAGUCUGCCAUUCGACCAAGAUUAGGGUGGAAUAACUGCCGGGGCCUGAUAAUUAGGGUGGUUCAAGUCUGCCAUUUCACAGAAUGAUAGGGUUAGGAUUAGGGUGGCUGAUGGUUGCUUGCCGGGUGAAGCCGCUUCUCCUCUGCGCCGCCGAGAGAGACGCCUCGGCCCGACCAUCUGACUCCGCGCCUCUCGUCGGAGACCGGCCGCCGCUGACUUGCGCCUGGGCUUGGGCUUGGAGUCUCGCGCGUGGAGCAUGACAGGUGCUGCCUGUAGUGUGUCGCGGGAUCCAAGCUGGCUGCUCAACUGCCGGGGCCUCGCAUACGCCUGCUCCUCGUAUAACAUUUUCGCAUGCGAGAGGCGUGAUUCUGGACCAUGGUUCAGCCGAACCUAUGGUCGACGCCGUACGAUUCAACAUCCUGCUACAUAUGGAUCCGCGUCACGCAUUGUUUAAUAUGCAAACAGCUCCCAUCAUGCAUUUUUUAAUCAAUCAUGCACGGAUCCUUAUGAAAAGUGUUCAGAGAUCAAUGGUGUCGAGCGUAGGUUCGGCAGAACCAUGGUUCCGUAUAACAUUUUCGCAUGCUCAAGUCGCCGGCCGCACGUAGCCGCGCAUCAGUCACGCGCCGUCGUGUGGUGUCCGUAUCUGCUGGAGCUGGAUGUCUACAGGGUCUAACAACAUCUCUAGCCGAUCCCUAAAAGAUAGCGGAGUAACUUUCAUGCACUAUUUCUACUUCACUAUUUUUUUUGACUGGACAUUGUGGAUCUUAUUAGAGUAAAACCAAAGAUGAACACAAAUUCAAUUAAACAUAGCCAUAAUUCGACACAUAACCAUAAUGUUUCACAUAGGCAUCAACCGAAGCAUAGUCUACUUAACCGAGACUAUAACUUACUAAUCAAGUCACUAUCCGUAUCAUGCGCGAGCGACAUCCACGUCUCCUUGGACAUCCCACCGACCAUGGGGUCAGGGCCUGUGACGUCGCCCUCGUCGUCACAGAAGAUUCUUCGUCAUUCGGUCCUGAGGCCGUCCUCGUUACCGUCUCCACUUCCAUUGCCUCUGUUGCCGUCAUUGUCCUCAUAGUUGCUUGACAGCAUGAUGAACUCCGCCCGGCCAGCCGCUCGUACAGGCGGUGCUCCACCUCCACUAGUUUUGGGUAGAGGUGGCAGAGCUCUGCCACGUACACCUCAUCGGAGGCCUCCGCCGCGAGCCUUUCCCUUGCCUCCCGCGCGUUGACUACCCCUGGCCAACCCGCGACAUCUCACCCCAUUCAAAGUUCCGGCAGCCCUCGGCGCCGUGCAACCGGACCGACCAAAUGUCUUACUUGGGGGGAGGGGGGCUGGGCCUGCUCGGCGGAGUGGAAGGAUCCAAGAUAGAGUUUUUUGUGGGUGUUCCAAUCCGUGAUCAUGGCUACCCGGGUCCCCCAUGCCCGCUACCGCAUGAUGAGGUAUGGCCUUUGUGGUGGCGGUGGCAUGGGAAGGUCGGGGAAGUCGACGAGCCUGCCGCGGGAGGCAGAUGGGACCGCGCACGAGAAAGUGCCGCAAUUCCGGUGUGAGGAAGAUGCGCUGGCGUUGCGUUCAUGACGGCGCGGAUCUGCGCUGCGAAUGGGCGGUGGGAAGAGCGGCGGCCAUGGGAUCCGGCCAUGGCGGCACAGGUAGGGCUGCAGGAUCGGUUGGGGGGGAGGGUCACCGGCGAGAUGUGGGCGCCAAGGGAUUGGGAGGGAGAGAGGCAGAGAGGUGCGGAGAACUUUACUCCGCGAGUGAGCGGUCGAUUAAGUUUACUCGCUCAGGUCGGCGUGGAGUAAAAUAUGUACUCCGAUAUAGCAUUUAGGGGAUCAGUUAGGUCCCAGUAAAACCAGAUUUUGGGGAUCGGGUAGAGAUGCUCUGAGGGCACCUCCAACGCGGACCCUUAAACCACCUGCUACCGUUCGGACCGCGCGUGUUUUGCCAUCCAAUGCGGUUAUGUAUCGGUCCGCCGACCGAUCUGAACACAUUUUCCCACAAUCUUGAGACAAACUAGGUGGGGGGGAGGGGCUUUACAUGCGUCCGCAUCGCUGCCACGCCCACAUCUAGCAAUCGUGGCCCACCCGCGCUUUUCAUCCAACGCCCGCGCCGCUUGCGGUGCCGCAUUCAUGUUGGCCCGGAGCAUGCAGCGACAUUGAUGGACAUGGCAUCUCGGGCUCCGCCACUUCAAUGCGGAUGCCCUGUAUUGAGAAACCAACUCCGGCCGUUGUGCUUCAUUGAAGCGGGCUGACCGGCCCUUCGCAUGGCUUGGUCGUGGCUAUUUAACCCAUGCGCUGGUGAUGCAUACAUCUGCACUACAUCGUCUCCGAGCCCCUCCUCCUCCCUGAGCCCCUUUUCCUCACCGAGCAUCUCCAACUUCAGCGAUGUCGAAGCCCUGGUUGUUCACCGAGCCGACGGGUGGAGGUGGCGGCAGUUCUUUGUCAGGUGGAUCAUGGCGUCGCCGCCCUUGUCCUCCGGGCCCCUCAAUAUCCACAGAGGUCGGUUUUUCCGGCAAGGAGAUCGUCAUAUCCUCUGACAAUGAGGAGGAUCGGGUGCCACCACAGGAGCAGCAGCAGCCCCGCCUCCUCGCGGAGGUCGCUCUGAUGGACAAAGAAUUUAUCCGUCAGAUGGAGAUCAUAACGGAGCGAUUGCUCCGUCAUAUGGGCCCGGUGCAAUCCUCACCGCCGCAUGCGGUCAAGGAGCAGCCGGCGUCCCCGCCAUGCUACCGCGUCAAGCGGAAGCCAUGCUAAUAGUUCAAGUUUUUUUACUGAGAGCUACUCAUGAAUGAGCUGAAACUUGGCAUGAACAUCGUUCACUCAAGUAUCUUUCACCACAAAAAAAUAGAACUUUUUUUAAAAUUCACUAUUCACAUGGUGUAGAUGAGCUCGGGAGCCGAAUAGAUAUUGGCAUUUAAGUUCAUAACAUAAAUUUAAGUACUGUCACAGGAUUGCAGGAUCAAAAGGUCGACUUAGCAACUAAAGAAGCAGAGGAACUAUUAGCAUGAGCGAGGAAAUUAUAAUAAUAUUUCGUUGUUUUGCCCACUUUUUAUUAUUAGUAAACAAAGACAUACAAAGCCGUAAAUUAAGAAAAAUAAAAUUGAUGUCAUUAAAAAAUCAACUAAAGAGAAAAGAAUAGUGAAAAUGGUGUAACACCCAAAAAAUAAACUAAGGAUGAAUGAACAAGGACAUUAGUACUAUUACCUAAAAGAAGAAAGAAAAUAAAAAAUAAAACAAGUAAAAAAGACGUGCACUCUUCCUUAUUGUGCGCAAAACUUGCACACAAACUACACAAAGUUUGCACUCUUCUAUACUUGCAAGAAUAAGUGUAAACUAGUGCAACUUUAAUAGUAAUUAUGAUUUAAGUAUAUUAAAUGAAAAUGAAUUUCAUUUUAAGGUCAUAACACAAAUUUAAGUAAUGUGACAUGAUUGCAACAUCAAACCGUUGCCACAUGCAUAAACAUAUGCGAAAUUCAAUCGCCCAAAAUUUAACCAAGCAACAAAAACCAAGCAAAGCUAUUAACAUGGGCGACAAAAUUAAAAGGUUCAUUUGUUCUACUCACUUUGUAUUAUUAUUUGUAAACAUAGACAUUUAAAAACAUAAAAAAAUAAUGAAGAUAAAAAAUUUAAUUCAGAAACAUAAAUUUCAACUGAAGAGGAAAGUGAAAAUGGUGUUGCCCAAAAAAAUCAGAAAAUAAAAUAAAAACAUAAAGAAGAAUUAUUCUAAGGAUGAAUAAAUUAAAGGCAUUGGUAUUACCUAAAAGAAGAAAGAAAUUAGAAAAAGAAACAAAUAAAAACUUGCACACAAAAUACAUCAUCAACUAGUAGUGUAACUCAUAUUUUUACAUCUACGUUAUACUCAGUGAUCGAACAACAAAAUAAUAAUGUUGACUAUUAAUCAUCUCUUGAUGCAUCAAAAUUAAAUUACAUCUUGUAUCCAGUGGCGGAGCUUGAAAAAAGAAGUUGGGCGGGCCAGAGAGCACAAUAUUUUCCAAAUUCUAGAGCAUGUAUUACUAAUUCAAUAGAUAUAGUCACCACACCUUCUGUUCACGUAUAUACUUCCUCAGACCAAAAUAAGCCAUAACAUUUGAGAUAGUACACGCGCUACAAUAUCCAGUUUUGGGUACUUUCUGAAAGGUGAACUUUUUUUUCAAAACCAAUGAACUUAUUUCAAAUUUGAUGGACUUCUUUUCAAAAUUGAUGAACUUUUUUUUUCAAACCAAUGAACGUUUUUUCAAAAUCGAUGAACUUUUUUCACAAUCGAUGAACUUCUUUUGAAUUUGUGAACUUUCUUUUGAAUACAUGAACUUUUUCAAUUUGAUGAUUUUUUUGCAUGCUCGUGAACUUUUUCUGUAAUAGGUGAACAUGUUUUAAAAUAAUUAGAAAAUAUAAACGAUACAGUGUGAUGUGCAAGAAAUUUCGUGUCUAUGUUUAUAUUCUUUAAACAUUUCGCGCAGCAACCAUUCAUAAGCAGUUAACUCGUCUAGUGGUUAGCCUCUUCGUGUGAAAGAACGACGGCGCGACAUCGAAUCUCACUCGGGAUGUAUUUUUUGGCAUUCUUUUUGCGCGUUGUGCCAUGCGCGAUCGUGAGCCGGCCCACCGAGCGGCUGCUCGCAAAAUAGGAGGUCCCGGCUCGCGGUGAGGCUGCGAGGCGCCCAGCUCUAUCGGUGUGGGCUGGCCGGCUGGGUAUAGUGCCAUAUAAACUCUUUUUUUUUGCUCUAGUCAUGGGCGGGCCAUGGCCCACUCGGCCUUGCGGAAGCUCCGCCAGUGCUUGUAUCAAUGACGACACCUCCCACAACCCUCUCUAUCACGCACACACUCACGGACGGACGCACCCACACGCGCACACAACACAUGCAUGCACACAUCUGUGUCACGCACAAGACACAACACACACUCUUUUUCUAGAAGCACACGAACACAUACUUGAAUCAGUAAGUGGACUGUGGGCUCCAGUCCCGCCAGUACAGGCCGAUGCCUUUACAUGGCCUGCUACAGAGGAAACUAAUUUUACUGACGCAAACUAAAAAAUUAGGCACCUGACCAUUUAGCAAAACUGGGAAAAAAAUAACAAUUUGAAUACAAUUGUCGGAUGCAUGAUCUCAUGUCCUUCGAGGCUUCGACCUGCCAAUAAAAGAGGCCCNNNNNNNNNNNNNNNNNNNNNNNNNNNNNNNNNNNNNNNNNNNNNNNNNNNNNNNNNNNNNNNNNNNNNNNNNNNNNNNNNNNNNNNNNNNNNNNNNNNNNNNNNNNNNNNNNNNNNNNNNNNNNNNNNNNNNNNNNNNNNNNNNNNNNNNNNNNNNNNNNNNNNNNNNNNNNNNNNNNNNNNNNNNNNNNNNNNNNNNNNNNNNNNNNNNNNNNNNNNNNNNNNNNNNNNNNNNNNNNNNNNNNNNNNNNNNNNNNNNNNNNNNNNNNNNNNNNNNNNNNNNNNNNNNNNNNNNNNNNNNNNNNNNNNNNNNNNNNNNNNNNNNNNNNNNNNNNNNNNNNNNNNNNNNNNNNNNNNNNNNNNNNNNNNNNNNNNNNNNNNNNNNNNNNNNNNNNNNNNNNNNNNNNNNNNNNNNNNNNNNNNNNNNNNNNNNNNNNNNNNNNNNNNNNNNNNNNNNNNNNNNNNNNNNNNNNNNNNNNNNNNNNNNNNNAUAAUGCUAAACAUACAAAGAGUUACACGCAAUCAAAUUAAUCAUUUUUAUAAAACCUUGUAACUCGUUUGUACGUGUAGCAUUACUCCCUUCUCCCUCCUGCCCACACGAACACCACUAACGCCCAAACCGUCACUGCCGUCGAAGGCCGCCGCGAGCAAGGCGAACCUCAUCUCGGGCCAGGAGCAAGGCGAACUGAACUGAUCCAGCGACCACAACCCCGAAUUCGGAGCUUCUUCCCCGGCUCCGGCAACCCCUUCGAGACUCGGUUAUUCUUGUCUAGACAGGUAUAGAGCUAUUCCUUCUCACUAUAGAUUAUAGACUCCCCUCGGCACUAUUUGGUUUCCCUUCACUCAAAUCCGAGGGUUAAUCGGGGUACCUGCUAUCUACACAUGCAUACGACCACCGUCGCCGGCUGUCCAACACGCCGUGGUCGUGUUCCUAGCUAGGAGGGUCCCCGUUCAUCAGUUGUUGUUGUUGUUGUUGUCCUUCUUUAUCUGUUUUGGUAACACCCAGGGUCCAGGGACAUCUAUGGUCUUGUGUGUUGAAGACCUUGCCUAGUAGUAUUAAAUUUCGGUUUUCUGUAACUAAGUUCAUGCAUGUUAGCUAAAGGUAGUCUAUUAUAUUGUAGUUUGAGUCGAUUUUACAUAGCUUUUGUUUAGUUUGGUACCGUUGAUGAAUUAGCAUGCUAGGGUCUGCUCUUGGCAGAUCAUUUUUCGAUUUCAUACUAGCUUACACUCCACCUACACAUGCGACCACCGCCACCGGUUGUCCAACGCACCGUGGUCUGUGAUCCAGCUUAUAAGUUGUUCUGUUCUUGUCCUUCUUUAGUUGUUUUGGUAAGACCCAGGGUCCAGGGACAUCUGUGGAUCUUGUGUGAUAUCACAACUGAAGGUCUUGUGUUUCUAUCAAAACUGAAGGUCUUGCCUAGUAGUAUUAAAUUUCGUCUUUUUAACCAACUAUACAUGUCAGCUAAGGUAGUCUAUUCUAUUGUGGUUUGAAUCGAUCAUCAAUAACUUCAGUUUAGUUUGGUACGGUUGAUUAAUUAGCAUGCAUGCUAGGAUCUGUUAAAACCACACUGAUUUCGUACUAGCUUACACUCUAGUUAGAACCACAGAUUGUUGACCAGUUGAUUGAUUAGGCUGACUACUUGACUGAAAUGCUUGAUUAAGCUGGCUACACUGCUGUUGUGCCCUUCAGCCCGCGAUGAGUUGCGAUGGUUAAUAGUUAAAGUUAAGCUGAUAAAACAGAUGCUUAGUAAAAGUAUAUGUACGUCCAGGGAACUUGAACUGACAGGAAAGACGGGAUAUGAAAGACCCUACGCACACAAAAAGAAAAGUAAAGAAAAAGCUAGAGAGACAUGGUGUGAAUGAACGUAACUGAACGUGAUUGAUUUGAUUGGGCAUGAAUAUCACAGCAUGAGGAAGCUAGUAUUUUGUGGCUUUGUCCAUAGACUUGUACGUUGCUUGUCCAAUCACCUUUGAGGCUAUGAGUUAGCUACUAGUGUAAUCAAUUAUCACAUAUGUGCAAGCAUUAUCAUAUCGAUAGGACAAAUAAUGCGAUGGAAGGCUAGGAUAGCAGGAAAUCUUGCAUGCAUGUGUGGUUCUUGUGGACUUUUCAUAAAAACAAAUUGCUCCAUGAGGCUUCUCCGCCUUGGCCCGUCAAAAAAUGUGUGCAAUGCACCCUUGUAACAAUGAAAUCCUCUAACCAAUGCCUACUAACCACCUCUUAAUUUUUGGUUCCUCAAGAUUUAGUGUGUAUGCUGAUAUUGUUUCCUUCAUGUAAUUUAUAUGAUAAGAAAUAUAUUUUAUAAUGAUUACCCUAAUGCGGUAAAUACAAUUUUCCACAUAUGUGAUAUGUCACUGUAUUUACCCUAAUACUUUCUUCAAAUCCGGGUGACUGCUUCUCCUUGAAACUAAAUUUAUCAGCUGUCAUGACCAAUUUAUGCAGAUCUUACACCAGAAGUACCACAUAUUAAUUAACCCAUAUGAUUUUGCAAGUACAGAUUAACCCAUAUGAUCUUUAACACAUACUUUCUCAUGCUUCAGAUUCCACGAUGUCUCAACCAUCAUCAUCAUCAUUCCAUGGAAGUGACGUGCGAGGAGACGAUUUCACUCCCGCCAUAGUAAGUAUUAUACAAUAUACACUGCUCCUAAUCACUAGUUCUCUCUUGUAUCAUAUUGUUUCUUCUAUUAUUGUUGGAACUGGAAUUACAGUAUAACUACUUUUCUAUGUAUUAAGUAACUAAUUCAGUAUGAUGACUCAUAGACUUACUCCCAUUUCUCAGGAUCGGAGAAGCAUGCAAAGACUGGAGGGGCACGAACUCAUAAAAGCAUUGAACGUGAAGUAUACCCCAGGGGCUCAGCCCUUGUUAGUCCUCUCACAUGGCUUUGGUUGUGACAAGUCUGUUUGGCACAAGGUGAUUUCUAACUUGAGAGAUUCAGAAAUUCAUAGUGGUAUUCUUACGUAUGAUCUUGCCUUUUCGGGAAAAGUUGGUAAGGAUUAUUACCACAAAUAUUCAGAUAGAUACCAAACAAUCGAUGGAUAUGUAGAGGACAUUGUAUCUAUCCUCCAACACUACAGUAUCCAUACAUGCAUUUUUGUUGGCCAUUCAACUUCUGGACUGGUAGGCCUACAAGCUUCCAUUCGGCACAGAGACCUGUUUAGCCAACUCGUCCUUAUCGGCACUGCCCCCUGGUAGGUAACCAAUGCACAUUUUGUUCCUGGCCAUAUAAAUAGCAUUCCAUUGUGAAUACUGCCUGCUGAUCCUAUUUUUAUGCACACGAUGCAGCGCUCUAGACAAAUUCCCUGAUUACAUGAUAGGGUAUUCAAGGGAAAGGGCAGAUGAGAGGCUUAAAUUGAUGGAAGUGGAUUACAAGAAAUUUGUGGAAACAUAUAUUGAGAUUGCACUUCCAGGGAACACCAAAGACAGCGCCAAGCUGAAACUAAACACAUGUUGUCGAGGACGACCGGAGAUGUUGUUAAAUCAAUGGCGACGAUGGUAUUCAACACAGACCUGUGCCCCAUGCUGCCACUUGUGACAUCUGCAUGCACCAUCAUUAGCACAAGUGCCAAUACUGUUGCAUCAACAUUUGCUCAAAACUAUAUGAUGCAGCAGAUGAAGAAUGCUAGAAUCACACUAGUAGAGGUCAAGACCAAGGGCCACCUACCACAUCUUACCGCCGGAAAGAUGGUUGCGAAGCACAUCUCAGAUGUCAUUCAUGAGUGGUAAGCCUUUCAUCCCAUUGUUUUUAUAUAAGAACAUUAAUAGCUACUCAUACUUGCAAAAACACAAUCCUUGCUUUUUCCAGUUUGGUAUCCCUACAUUGCUAUUCAUACAUGCAAAAACACAAUCCUUGCUUUUUCCUAUAUGGUCUGACAAAAACACUAUAUGCAUGUGCUUCCUUCUCACAUACAGGAUAGCAAGAACUGAGCCAUUAACUUCCAUACCUCCUAGCCUAUUGCCUUCGUAUGAUAGGCUGCGUGAAGAGAUUAGGGUACUUAAAGAAGAAAACAUGUUGCUGAAGAGAGAGAACGAAGCUCUGAAGAAGCCAGCGAUUGAUGAGACCACCAAACUGGCAACGGUGUCCCGGCCAGGUGGUGGAAGCCAUGAAUCAUCACCAGGCAGCGGAGGUUCUUGACCAAAUAAGCGCAUUGGAACUUGAUGGUUCUUCCUCCUAGUAUGAUUUGUGUCCUGUUUUCGCAUGUGUGUGUGCUCUGGCUGUGUGCGCGUGGGCGUGGUCUGGCUGUUAGCGCCUUGGUGUGCUUGUUGUGCAUGUUUCUGCUCUUUUUCUUUGAAUUAUGUACUUUUCUAACUCGAGAGCUAUGGAUCUAAAUCAUCAUAACUUAACGUUCAUUCAGAAGUUGUUGCUGUGUUUCUGCUCUUUGGUGGCGCGUUCUGCCUGUGCCGCUGGUUCUGUUUUUCUGGCUUCGGAGCUAUUGGUGUUACUGGUGUUAGCGUUGAACCUUUGCUUCAACAAAAUAGCAGGCCUGUAAUGGCCUCUUCUCUAAAAACAGAAGGAGAUGACUGCACUUGACCAGUACAUGAACGCGCAUGAUGCGGUUAACAAGGUAUGGCGUUUCAGGGGAAGGAGAGAAAAGUGUGGAGGACAACAACACCUGAGCUGAUAAGGCGGUGGAAGUUUCGGCGAAAUGAAUCAUUUACCUUACAUCUUUGCUUGUAACUGACUUCACCAUGAGGUCCAUCUUGAGUUUAGAUAGUCAUUUACCUCUUUAUUAUUUCUAACUAACUUCACCGGGUAGUUGUUUAGCUUUUAUUAUUACUUUGGCAUAGAUUAUUAAUUGCAGUACACCUUUAACUUUUUAUGCGGUAUGCAUAACCUACUUUCAUGUAAAGAAGCAAGCUCAUCUAUAUUUUAUUCCUCUACCAUUUAUCGAUGGUAAAAAUAAUUUUUUUUUGCCUCUUGUCAUGGUUCUUUCUGAAGCUACUCAAGCUUAUCAUUUGCCUUCCAGUUAGUCUCCUUAAAUCAUGGCAUAUCGCUGUUGAUUUUAUCUCCACGAAACAGUUCUACUAUAUGACAACUAGUGUAUAAUAAAUCCAAUCUAACAAGUACAUUACCUGGGUGAGCUUUGCCCCUCCACAAUCAGUUGGUACGUUUGGGAGUGAUAUCAAAGCAUUUAGUAUAUGUUCUGCAUGAACACUUCAAACAUUUUGAUUUUCGAAGUGAAUAUGAUUAUUAUUAUUACAUAAACUUUGAAAAAACAUACCAAUCCUUUCAAUCUCUAGAUAACUUGUGAUUUAUCAUUUUCUAAGAAAAAGAAGGUAGCAAUACCAGUUCGAAAACAGGUCUUGGCGGUACUACUACGUCGUUCUGCUCUUCCAUGAUGCCAGGCAUGCCCUUGCCAGUUGCCAUACAACUCUUCAUGAGGCCCUUGUUCUUCAUAGGACAGCUCUAUUAGGACUAGAAAGAAAAAGGAAAUUAAGUAAUCAGGACAAAUAAGAUUAUCAGGAAUGAGAAGGUAGAGUCAAACACAAGAGACAAGGUAGUACAACGGUAAUCAAAUAGUAUUAUGUGGAAACCACAAGUCAAUAUGACAUAUAUGUUCCAGCAUAUAGAUUAAAUGACAAGUUACAGAACAGAAAUAUUCUGCCUUCAUAGUUUAUCAAUUAAAAGGCUGCUUAACUAGAGUUCCUAAUGUAUCCUAUGCAUGGAAUCAAUCAUAUGGUGCACAACACUGGAGUUCCAAAAAUAGCCUAUGGAAUUAAUCAUAUAGUACCCGACAUGUUCAACAGUUCUGCGAAAAAGUGCAAUGGAAUAUGAGACGAACCACUUACAAAAGUAAUGAAGCAUGAUCAAUGCAGCCUAUUAUAUCUAGGAACAAAAAAAUUAUGAUGACGUAUUGAUCAUAACUACAAAUCCAUCCAUUAAUAGGUAUAAUGUAUAUGAGAAACAAAAUAUAAUAGAAAACACAGUGAAUUUUUUUAUUAUCUCAAGUUCUCAACAUGUAUAGAUCACCCAAAGGCAAAAGACAAACCUUGCAGGAUCAUUCUUGAGCACAGGAAAUGUGGGUGGCCAUGUCAUCAUAAAAGGAUAAAUCCGUUCUAAAGUUCGUUCAUCUUCUGUCACUUCAUACACCUUACGCAGCUCCCGGCGUUUAAUAUCCAAGUGAAGUGCAGACUGGCCUAUCUUGAAGAACACAAACUGGAGAUUAUCCCCUGUUUGGAAUGUGUCUAAAAGAGUAGGCUGCUCAUUAUCAGCCAUCCCCAAAGCAUCCAACAUCUCACGCAAGCAAAUUGUAUCCAAAAGCAACCAGUUUCUCAUGCCGCCACUGUUGCCCCCCGUGUGGAGCCAGAUGCGAAGCUGCAGUUUCUCAAGAUGUACAAGAUAAACCCCUGAAUCAUUGGCCCGUGAUAGCAUCAUAUCUUCACAAACAUACCGCUCCAUUCCUUCGGGGAGCGGAAUAGUGGAGAAGUUUGAAGUCGUCAAAUUCAAUGCAGCAAUGCUCGUGGAGUGCUCCAUAUAGAUCUUAUUGCCAGACAACAGAGGAUGUGGAUCCGGCCACGGAGAAGGGAGCACUGCCGCUGCUGAGGAACGCCAGUACCAAAGACCAUCUUGUAGCAUAUAUAUGUGCGCCUUGUAUUUUAUAGAAUAAUCUUUUCCCUCUAUGAGAUAACCAAUUGAGAACCAUAUGAAGGUCAGGUUCUUACCGUCACCUUCUUCCUUCAAGAGGAAGUGGGCACAAGUGGCUGCAGUGCCAUCAAAUUCUUCAUAUGGGGUGAUUGGCGGUGCAACAACGCCUCUCUCCGGGCACAGCGGCCAGUGCACUCCAAACAAGAUGCUCUUGUCUUGGAAGCCAUGGAGAAGGAUGGUGUCGUUCUGGCACUCACAAACGCAUGCAAGUUCUUCGUCAUAGGUCUCCAGACUGUAGUUCUCAGCCAGGCGGACAGCAGUGGCAAGCUCCAGGGGCUGAGGCAGCAUCGGGACAAAGCGCGGGCGGAGCAGGACUAGUGAGAGCUCAUCAGUUGACCUGGUGGAGACAUAGAAGCCGAGGAGACGGGGCGGGUGGAGGCUGCGGAAGCGGCGGAGAAAGGCCUUAUCGGAUACAAUGAAGAACCAGCGCUUGCAGACAAGGAUGGCGCGGAUGAGGGUGGUGGGCAGGCCGAGUCGGACAAUGAUCUCGAUGAGGAGGUCAUCGUCGUCGAGCACCCUGGAUACGGAGUCUGCUGCCUGCAACGGCGGGGAUUGGGAAUGCGUCUGCAUCUUGCCAUACACACAUGGUGUGUUGGGAUUGGGAUCGACCCUGAAAUUAGUGGCAUCGACAAUCAGAAUCAGUACAAUCAAAGUGAAGAUGAAUGGGAAGUAGCACGUACGUACGUGCAGGUUGAGUGCGUGAUAUCAAUGUGGGGAAUUUAAAGAAACCGAAUCUUACGUACCCCCCAGGAAUCUCAACAGGAUCCAUCUGCACCUUCCAACUCCUGCUCGCCACAAUCAGUCCGCUAGCACAAGAAGAAAAUGGAGGAUUUGAUUUCCUCAUCAAGAAAAGAAAAUGGAAGAGAAAAGAAAAUGGAGAAUUUAAAGAGUAGGCUGCUCACCUCGCCAAUUUGGGGGAGCCGUUCACUGGUGAUGCAGCAAACUCUUUGUUAAUCUCAAGGGUAAAUAAGACAGAGCCGAACUCCUUGUUAAUUUCCUGCAGGAUCAGAAAAGCUUUACUUCCCAAGAAACUGUUCCUCAAGACGCUACCGCACAUAGGUACAUAUAAGUACACAUAACUGCAGAAUCAAAUCAUUAGGCUCUUAAUUAGUCAACAUGAUGUACGCGUGGAAGUGAGAGUUCCGCCCACUCAAGGUUCGGUCUCUCAAGAAUUAGUUUGCAGAACCUCACAGGAUUUCGACAUAAGCAACAGAACCUUUAAUUUUUGCAUAGUUCAACACGAGCAACAGCAACCAUCAACAGUUACAUCACCAAGGUUGCAGCUUCACCAACCACCACAUGAGACAUACAUGCAUACAGAUCCCCCGAUUCCCCACCACAGAUCCGACGCUCAGAGAACCGCUAGAGGUAAAAACGCGAAAUUGUCUUCCACGGGAAGGGCUAGAGAGAAGUGCCCACGGCGGGAGAGAGGGAGGGGGAGAAGCAACCUUGGAGAGGUCGAGGAGAGUUUCACCGCGGACGAUUAGCCGGAUAGGGGGCGGGGGCGGAGAGGGAGCGCCGAAGGAGGCCGGCGGCGGAGGGAGACGGGGAGANNNNNNNNNNNNNNNNNNNNNNNNNNNNNNNNNNNNNNNNNNNNNNNNNNNNNNNNNNNNNNNNNNNNNNNNNNNNNNNNNNNNNNNNNNNNNNNNNNNNNNNNNNNNNNNNNNNNNNNNNNNNNNNNNNNNNNNNNNNNNNNNNNNNNNNNNNNNNNNNNNNNNNNNNNNNNNNNNNNNNNNNNNNNNNNNNNNNNNNNNNNNNNNNNNNNNNNNNNNNNNNNNNNNNNNNNNNNNNNNNNNNNNNNNNNNNGGUGCGGCUCGCUCGGGGAGAGAAGGAAGGUAGCCCCACGCCGAAACCUUUUUCUUCACUUCUGAUUGGCAAAAUCUGUGUAAUAAUGGGGCUUUUUUCCCAUGGUUCAACCCGAAAACCCAAGAUAGCUUCAAAAGAAAACCCGGAAACCUAAGAUUGUCAUGGCGCCGGCGCCGGCAGAUGAGGUUUUUUUUAAGCAACUCGCCGGCAGAUGAGGUGUGGCCAGACCUGACCAUGUGGGUGGCACAGCAAAGAGCCGGCCCGAUGGCUUCACCUCGUGAAUCGGCUUGGCAAGCCAACUAAAAGGGCUGACCGCAAGGCACCGUUCGCUUUGAAAAGGUCUAAACAAACUAAAAGGUCAAACUAUCCUAAAAGGCCUAAAUUUUCAGAUUAGAAUGGCCAAAACAGCCCUAAAAUACCUACAGAGACCGAACAGUAUUAAAAGGGUCGCGUCAGGCCAGCCUUAAGGCUUGGCUUUGGGGAUCGGUCUUGAUCCAUGGGGGGGCGAAGGCCAGCCUGGUCCUUUUAUUCGCGUGUCAUGCUAGGCCAAAAAUCAUUGCUCGUGGGCCGGCCUUACAAGCACUACCAAUAUGGUCAGGUUUGGGUGUGGUAGAGGCAUCGAAAGGGGCGACACAACCCAUUCCAGUGGUAGAGGAGUGUCGGAGUCGACAUCGCACGACAUCAAAGGGAGGUGGUUGUUCAUGCAAAGAAGGCCCUUUUGGGAGGUGCAUAGGGAAAUGGCUUGCUUCCUUACUUUUUAGGAAGUUUCAAAAACUCUUUGUUAGAUGGAGGAACUUUUAAAAACUUAAGAAGCAAAGGCUACAUGGUGUUAGUUACUGAAAAAAGCAAUUUUAAGGAGGUAUUAUAGGGUUUAUGGGAGGGCUGGAGAUACUCUUAACGAAGUGAUUAUUUUGUCAGAGAACGAAGUGAUUAAAUCAUUUCCAGUACAAUUUAAUUUGUUAUGCAGUAUGCAUAACCUAUAUCUUUUUUCCUCUACUAUCGAUGGUAAAACAUAAUGGUUUUUCUUGUAGUCUCUCACAUCACACAAUUAUACUACCUCGUUGUUAUUCUUUCUAAAACUACUCAAGCUUGCCAAUUGCCUUCCAGUUAGCCUCAUGGUGAAUCAUCAUCAUUAUUAUUACAUAAACUUUGAAAAACAAACUAAUCCCUUUCAAUCUCUAGAUAACUAUUUCAUGGUGAGUCCUUUUGAUCUACCAUUUUCUAAAGAAUGUAGCAAUAGUCCUGGCGGUACUACAACAUUGUUCUGCUCUUCCUUGAUGUCGGGUGCCCUUAUUCUUCAUAUUUAUAACGCCCUUAUUUUCACCAUCAUUCUGGCCAUACAACUCUUCACAACGUCCUUGUUCGCCGUAUGACAGUUCUCUUAGGACUAGAAAGAAAAAGAAAAUCAAAGAAUCAUGAGAAAGAAAAUUAUCAGGCAUGAGAAGGUAGAGUCAAAAACAAGAGAUAAGGAGAUAUGAUACAUAUGUUCCAGCAUAUAUUAUGUGGAAACCACAAGAGGAACCACAAGAAGGUACAACAGUACUCAAAUAUUAUAUGGAAACCACAAGUCAAUAUGAUACAUAUGUUCCAGCAUAGAGAUUAAAUGACAAGUUACAGAACAGAAAUAUCCUCGUUCAUAAUUUAUCAACUAAAAUGUUGCUUAACCAGAGUUCCUAUAUAUAUAGCCUAUGGAAUCAAUCAUAUGUUGCCCGACACUUGAGUUCCCAAAAUUGCCUAUAGUAUCAAUCAUAUAGUACGCGACACGUUCAGCAGUUCUAAGAAGCGGUGCAAUGGAAGAUGAGAUGAACCACUUAUAAAAGUAAUGUAGCAUGAUCAGUGCAGCCUAUUAUACCAUUAAUAGGUAUAAUGCAUAUGGGAAACAAAAUACUACUAGAAUGCACAUUGCAAAUGUUGGUUAUCUCAAGUUCUCAACACGUAUAUAUAGAUCACCCAAAGGCUAAAGACAAACCUUGCAGGAUCAUUCUUGAGCACAGGGAAUGUGGGUGGCCAUGUCAUCAUAAAAGGAUAAAUUUGUUCUAAAGUUCGGUCAUCUUCUGUCACCUCACACACUUUACGCAGCUCCCUGUGUUUAAUAUCCAAGUAAAGUGCACAUUGGCCCAUCUUCAAGAACACAAACCGGAGAUUAUCCCCCGUUUCGCUUGUGUUUAAAAGAGUAGGCUGCUCACCACCUGCCAUCCCCAAAGCACCCAACAUGUCACGCAAGCAAAUGUUAUCCAAAAGCAACCAGUUUCUCAUGCUGCCACUGUUGUCCCCCCUAUGGAUCCAGAUGCGAAGCUGCAGUUUCUCAAGAUGUAUGAGAUAAACCCCUCAAUCAUUGGCCCUUGACAUCAUCAUAUCUUCACAAACAUACCGCUCCAUUCCUUCAGGGAGCGAAAUAGAGGAGAAGUUUGAGGUUGUCAAAUGCAAUGCAGCAAUGCUCGUGGAGUGCUCCAUAUAGAUCUUAUUGCCAGACAGCAAAGGGUUUAGAUCCGAUCGCUGAGAAGGGAGCACUGCUGCUGCUGAGGAAUGCCAGUGCCAAAGACCAUGUUGCAGCAUAUAUAUGUGCGCCUUGUAUUUUAUAGAAUAUUUUUUUCUUCUCUUUGAGACAGCCCAUUGACAACCAUAUGAAGGUCAGGCUCUUACUGUCACCUUCUUCCUUGAAGACGAAGUGGGCGCAAGUGCCUGCGGUGCCAUCAAAUUGGUCAUAUGGGGUCACCGGCGGUGCAACAACACCUCUGUCCGGGCACAAUGGCCAGUGCAGUCCAAACAAGAUUCCCUUGCCUUGGAAGCCAUGGAGCAGGAUGGUGUCGUUAUGGCAGUCAUACAUGCAUGCCCAUUCUUGGUCAUACACGUCCAGACUGUAGUUCUCGGCUAGGCGGACAGCAGUGGCGAGCUCCGGGGGCUGAGGCAGCAUCGGGACAAAGCGUGGGCGGAGCAGGACCGGUGAGAGCUCGUCAGUUGACCUGGUGGAGACAUAGAAGCCGAGGAGACGGGGCGGGUGGAGGCUGCGGAAGCGGCGGAGAAAGGCCUUUUGGGAGAUGAUGUCGAACCAGCGCUUGCAGACAAGGAUGGUUCGGAUGAGGGUGGUAGGCAGGCCCAAUCAGACAAUGAUCUCGAUGAGGAGGUCGUCGUCGUCGAGCACCCUAGAUACGGAGUCUGCCGCCUGCAACGGUGGUAUUGAAUUCAUGCUCCAGCCAACUCAUCCAAAAGUCUGAACUGAUGGAGGGAGGUGGGCAAUAUAUUUCAACACUCUCCCUCACGUCUAGGCCAUUUUAGUCCUUAGACGUGUGCUCAAUGUAGGCUGCAGAAUCGUUUUUAUAAUACUGCAUUGGCAAGGUCUUAAAUUCAAGACCUCUUGGCUCUGAUACCAUAUUGAAUUCAUGCUCCAGCCAACUCAUCCAAAACUCCGAGCUGAUGGAGGGAGGUGGGCAAUAUAUUUCAACAGGCGACACCGGGGAUUGGCAAUACCUCUGCAUCUCGCCAUCCAUACAUGAUGUCUUCUGAAAGGGAUAGACCCUGAAAUUAGCAGCAUCUAUAAUCAGUACUGUGCGAUCGAUGUGGACAUGCUGAUUGCGUGAAAUCAAUAGGAGGAACUUAAAGAAACUGAAUCUCACGUACCCUCCCGGAAUCUCAGCAGGAUCCAUCUACACAAGAAGAAAAUGGAGGAUUUAAUUUGGGUUCGUCGGCAAGAAAAGAAAAUGGGAGUAGUGAGCAGGGAGAAAGGGGCUCACCUCGCCAAUCGGGGGAGCCGUUCACUGAUCAGGUGCCGUUGUGGAGGCGCGCGGGUCAGCAGCCAACUCCUUGUUAUUCUCAACCGUAAACAAAACAGAGCCAAUCCCGCACAUUCUUCAGGUACAUAAGAGGAAGUUUUCCUAAAAUGUUGCAUCUGUUAUAAUUUUUCUUCUUCCUGUUCCUGAAAUGUUGCAUCUGUUAUCAUAAGGGAUCCAUACACGUCGUGGUUUGUCAUGGUGGAAGACAGUCUUCAUGUAGCUCCAGGCCACACAUUGAGCUUUGAGCUGGUUUUCCUAAAACGCGUUUGCGCAAAAACGUCUCGGAGCCAUUUUUUCUAAAAACACAAUUUCUGGGUAUUACGAGAAUCAAAUUUAAUUUCCUUAACCAAGAAUUAAUUAGAUAAGCCAAAACAAAGUUUUAGUUGGUUAGAAUCUAAAACACACUUAUAGCUAACCGAUACUUUAAAAGCUCGCUAACCAAUCAACCCCUAAGAUAGCUUUAAAAGAAACCACGGAAACAUAAGAUUGUCAUGGCACUGGCGUCGGCAGAGGAGGGUUUUUUAAGCAACUCGCCGGCAGAUGAGGUGUGGCCAGACCAAGCCAUAUGGGUGGCACGACAAAGGGCCGGCCUGAUUCCUUCACCUCGUGAAUUGGCUUGGCAAGCCAACUAAAAAGGGCCGACCCCGCAAGGCACCACUCGCUUUGAAAAUGUCCAAACUAACUAACUAAAAUGGUCAAAAUAUCCCUAAAAGGCCUAAAUUUUUAGAUUAGAAUGGCCAAAACAGCCCUCAAAUACCUAGAGAGACCGAACAAUACUAUAAGGGCCAUGUUGGGCCGGCCAUAAGGCUUGGGUUUGGGGAUCGGUCUUGAUCCAUGGAGGGCCGAAGGCCAGCCUGGCCCUUUUAUUCGCGUGUCGCGCUAGGCCAAAAAUCAUUGCUCGUGGGCCGGCCUUACAUGCACUACCAAUAUGUCCAGGUUUGGGUGUGGUAGGGGCAUCGAAAGGGACGACAUGACCCCAUUCCCAUGGUAGAUGAGCGUCGGAGUCGACAUCGCACGCAUCAAAGGGAGAUGGUUGUUCAUGCAAAGAAGGCCCUUUGGGGAGGUGGAUAGGGAAGUGGCUUGUUUCUUUACUUUUUAGGAAGUUUCAAAAACUUUUUUGUUAGAUGGAGGAGCUUUUAAAAACUUAAGAAGGAAAGGCUACAUGGUGUUAGUUACCUAAAAAAGCAAUUUUAAGGAGGUAUUAUAGGGUUUAUGGGAGGGCUGGAGAUACUCUCAACGAAGUGAUUAUUUUGUCGGAGAACAAAGUGAUGAAAUCAUUUCCAGUACACUUUAAUUCGUUACGCGGUAUGCAUAACCUAUAUCUUUUUUUCAUCUACCGUUUAUCGAUGGUAAAACAUAAUGGUUUUUCUUGUAGUCUCUCACAUCAACACUAGUGUAGAACCGGGCAAUAGCACCAGUUCGUAAGGGGCUUUAGUGCCGGUUCGAUAACCGGCACUAAAUUGUAGGCACUAAAGCCCCCCCCCCCCUUUAGUACCGGUUCAGCAUGAACCGGUGCUAAAGGGCAAACACGUGGCACGAGCCAGCUCCGUGGGCGCGUAGGACAUUAGUACCGGUUGGUAACACCAACCGAUACUAAAUGUUUUGGUGUGUUUUGGUUUUAUUUUUUAUUUUUACUUUAAUUUUGUGUUUUCAAUUUAAUUUAGUGAUUGUUUUACAUUAUAAUGAGUUGUUAAAUCAUUAGGUGAUUAGUUUGACUGGAUGCGUGUGGAUCCUAGCUAAGUCAUCAAGUAUAUGUCAUAUCCAUAUUAUAUAUACUUGAUCACCUACUUAAGUGAUCGAGGUAAUAUGGAUAUGGCAUAUACUUGAUCACUUAGCUAGAAUCCAUCCAGUUGAAACUAAUAUGCAAUUUCUUUCAUAAAUUAUAUAAUAACUCAUCAUCAUCAUCAUCAUAUUAAUUAAUAUAAAAACUCUUGCAUCAUAUAUAUCAUCACCAACGGUUUUCAUAGCAAAGAUAUCAUCGAGUUCAACAUGGUAAUGAUAUUAUAAGCGUUCAUAACAUCACAAAAGCAAAUCACUCGUUGAGAUUAAGUUCAGGACGAAGAACACGGACAUGAGAGGACAAGUACUAAGAGCAUGAACUAGCUAAUUAAUCACUCCUGCUGCUCUCUCUCAGGUAAAAUAGCAUAGAACAUGUAUAGCUUUGCUGAUUUAUCAUAUUGGAGCAUGCAGAUGAACCUGUCUCCUAAUCGUGGGUUGCACUUCUGAUUGCUGCCCCCUAGUACUUCUCUGUGAUCGUUCACAGUUUUGCUCCAGUCUUUUACUAUUAAGCAUUCCUCGCUAUUAGAAAUCUUGAAUGCACUAAAGUGCAUUGUAGGAUAUCUUGUCCGUAAGCUAACAAUAUUCAUGAUACCUUUAGUCUCGAUCCGAUCAGGCACAACAUUCAUCGGGAGUCCCUGUUGAAGAACAUCGUAUAUAGUAACAUACUUAGCAAUGAAGUUUAGCUUAAAAAAAUAAUGCAUGCAAAAGAUGCACUUAGGAGAAAUAGUAGAAAUCUUACCGUCUUUCCUAAAUAUAUGUGACCGUAGUUCAGUACGAACACUAUUGGUCGCACGUUUUGAGUACUAACAUUUCUAAGUGCAGGAAAGAAAUUUGUCUUGACAGCAUCAAGAUCCUCAAGCCAUAAAACAUAAUGACUUGUCUCCUCGCAGUUUAGUUUAGCCCCGGGACAGUGGACGGUCCUGUCUACCAAGCGCCGGACAUGUUUGCUUGAUUGGAAGUAAGCUGUCAAUAUAAAUUGAGAUCUAUUAAUUAUUCAACUGGUUCAAAUAAUCUCAUAUCGAAGACAUAAAUAUGGUUGAGAAACUCACAUAAUGGUAGAACUGGAGGCGUCUGCACAUCGACCCAGAUGUCUCUAUUACCUUCAAUAUCAUUUUCCGGACGAAUAUCAAAGGUGAUAAUCAUAUCAGGCUCAAAUGCAUAAGCCUUGCAUAGUGCUUGCCAAGUUUUGCAUUCAAAAUAGGUGUAUGUGUCUGUAUUGUAUAAUUUGACGUUGAAGGUAUAACCAUGCUCGGUUUUCAAGUAAACUCUUUUUACCUCCAUAGUUUCAUUAGGACUGAAACCUAUCUUAUCCAAGACAAAAAUUCUUGCAUGGCAGGGGAUACGCUAGUAGAAUAGUGAAAAAUUAAGAUUAAAAGGUGAAGCAAAUGAAGCAUAAGUCAUGCUUAAUUACGAAAAAAGACUUGUCGUUGUGACGUACUGUAUCCACUUCGAAGUUCUCAUCCAGCUUGAUGCUGAAGCGUCUAUCAUCAACUAGAAAAUUUCUACCGCACAGGCCGCGCUGGUCUUCGCAGUAUUCACACAUAAUGAAAUCGUAUUCGUCGUCAGACGACAUUUAUAUGUUCAUAGGUGAAACAUUAAACACUUAUUAGUUCUAUUAGUUCAACUAAUUCUGUUAAUUCAACUAGUUCAACUAAGCACUUAGGAAGAAUAUACCUAAUUNNNNNNNNNNNNNNNNNNNNNNNNNNNNNNNNNNNNNNNNNNNNNNNNNNNNNNNNNNNNNNNNNNNNNNNNNNNNNNNNNNNNNNNNNNNNNNNNNNNNNNNNNNNNNNNNNNNNNNNNNNNNNNNNNNNNNNNNNNNNNNNNNNNNNNNNNNNNNNNNNNNNNNNNNNNNNNNNNNNNNNNNNNNNNNNNNNNNNNNNNNNNNNNNNNNNNNNNNNNNNNNNNNNNNNNNNNNNNNNNNNNNNNNNNNNNNNNNNNNNNNNNNNNNNNNNNNNNNNNNNNNNNNNNNNNNNNNNNNNNNNNNNNNNNNNNNNNNNNNNNNNNNNNNNNNNNNNNNNNNNNNNNNNNNNNNNNNNNNNNNNNNNNNNNNNNNNNNNNNNNNNNNNNNNNNNNNNNNNNNNNNNNNNNNNNNNNNNNNNNNNNNNNNNNNNNNNNNNNNNNNNNNNNNNNNNNNNNNNNNNNNNNNNNNNNNNNNNNNNNNNNNNNNNNNNNNNNNNNNNNNNNNNNNNNNNNNNNNNNNNNNNNNNNNNNNNNNNNNNNNNNNNNNNNNNNNNNNNNNNNNNNNNNNNNNNNNNNNNNNNNNNNNNNNNNNNNNNNNNNNNNNNNNNNNNNNNNNNNNNNNNNNNNNNNNNNNNNNNNNNNNNNNNNNNNNNNNNNNNNNNNNNNNNNNNNNNNNNNNNNNNNNNNNNNNNNNNNNNNNNNNNNNNNNNNNNNNNNNNNNNNNNNNNNNNNNNNNNNNNNNNNNNNNNNNNNNNNNNNNNNNNNNNNNNNNNNNNNNNNNNNNNNNNNNNNNNNNNNNNNNNNNNNNNNNNNNNNNNNNNNNNNNNNNNNNNNNNNNNNNNNNNNNNNNNNNNNNNNNNNNNNNNNNNNNNNNNNNNNNNNNNNNNNNNNNNNNNACAGGGGGACGGGCGCGGCGGGCGAGAGGCGGCGGCGACGUACGGGGACGGCGGGGGCGACGGGCCGGGCGGUGACGGCGACGACGGGUGGCGGGGGCGACGGCGGUGACGGCGACGACGGGUGGCGUGGGCGACAGCGGUGACGGCGACGACGGGCGGCGGGGGCGGCGAGGACGGCGCGCGAUGGGGCGACGGGCGCAGCGAAGAAGUUUGGAUCGAGAAGAACUACUGGUGGGCGAAACUGAUUUUUUCGUAGGUUCCAUAUAUAUAGGAGGGGUCUUUAGUGCCGGUUGGAGCCACCAACCGGUACUAAAGGCCAAUUUUCGCCAGGCCAAGGGGCAGGAAACGGCCCCUUGAGUACCGGUUCGUGCCACGAACCGGUACUAAAGACCCCCCCCCUUUAGUAUCGGUUGGAGCUACCAACCGGUACUAAAGGUUGUGCGUUGCCAUCGGCGGUGCACAAUGUUUAGUCCUACCUCGCCGAGCGAAGGGCAGCCGCACUAGUUUAUAAACCCAGCCGCGGCUGCUCCUUCGAGCUUCUCUAUAUAGCAGGCUUUUGGGCCUAGUUAACUAGGGCGCGCUGCCCUGUGAGCCUGCUAGCCCUUCUGGGCCUGCAUUUGCACACCCUAGGUCUGGCAGGCCCACUUGUUAGCGCGCCAACAAAUUUUUUAUAUAGUUUUUUCUUUUCUGCAUUAUUUAUUUUCUUCUAUUUAUUUUUGAGUAGUUUUUUAUAUAGUUUUUUUCUUUCCUGCAUUAUUUAUUUUCUUCUAUUUUUUUUGAGUAAUUUUUUGUAUAGUUUUUUCUUUUCUGCAUUAUUUAUUUUCUUCUAUUUAUUUUUGAGUAAUUUUUUUGUAUAGUUUUUUUAUUUUCUGCAUUAUUUAUUUUCUUCUAUUUAUUUUUGAGUAAUUUUUUUGUAUAGUUAUUUUAUUUUCUUCUAUUUAUCUUCUCUACUCUUUCGCGCAUGCUAUGCGGGUGAUAUGAUGAUACCAUGCCAAGUUUCAAGAUUUUCAGGAUUCAUUUUGUAGUGAUUUUCAAUUUCACGGUCAUUUAGCUCUCUAAACAAUUAGGUAAAUGACCGAAAAACAAAAAAUGAUGUCAGAACAUGUUGGAAAUUGAUGACGUCGCUUUGAAUGCUGCAUACUGAACACAAAAGAAGUCCGGAGUUCAAAUAAGUUUAAAAAAUAUUGAAGUGGCCGUGUAACAGAUGAGUUCUCGCCCGAAACCCUGAUACUCCGAAAGAGUUUGUCCAGUUUGUACACGAAGUGCGUCCAGUUUUUGCAGUGACCCUCNNNNNNNNNNNNNNNNNNNNNNNNNNNNNNNNNNNNNNNNNNNNNNNNNNNNNNNNNNNNNNNNNNNNNNNNNNNNNNNNNNNNNNNNNNNNNNNNNNNNNNNNNNNNNNNNNNNNNNNNNNNNNNNNNNNNNNNNNNNNNNNNNNNUACUGAACACAAAAGAAGUCCGGAGUUCAAAUAAGUUUAAAAAAUAUUGAAGUGGCCGUGUAACAGAUGAGUUCUCGCCCGAAACCCUGAUACUCCGAAAGAGUUUGUCCAGUUUGUACACGAAGUGCGUCCAGUUUUUGCCGUGACCCUCUCUACUCUUUCACGCAUGCUAUGCGGGUGAUAUGAUGAUACCAUGCCAAGUUUCAACAUUUUCAGGAUUCAUUUUGUAGUGAUUUUCAAUUUCACGGUCAUUUAGCUCUCUAAACAAUUAGGUAAAUGACCGAAAAACAACAAAUGAUGUCAGAACAUGUUAGAAAUUGAUGACAUCGCUUUGAAUGCUGCAUAGUGAACACAAAAGAAGUCCAGAGUUUAAAUAAGUUUAAAAAACAUUGAAGUGGCCGUGUAACAGAUGAGUUCUCGUUCGAAACCCUGAUACUCCGAAAGAGUUUGUCCAAUUUGUACACGAAGUGCGUCCAGUUUUUGCCGUGACCCUCUCUACUCUUUUGCGCAUGCUAUGCGGGUGAUAUGAUGAUACCAUGCCAAGUUUUCAACAUUUUCAGGAUUCAUUUUGUAGUGAUUUUCAAUUUCACGGCCAUUUAGCUCUCUAAACAAUUAGAUAAAUGACCGAAAAACAACAAAUGAUGUCAGAACUUGUUGGAAAUUGAUAACGACGCUUUGAAUGCUGCAUACUGAACACAAAAAAAGUCCGGAGUUCAAAUAAUUUAUUAAAAAUAAAAAAGAGGUGCAAUGCUGGUUAAUUUGCUUCAAGCCAUUCGGAAUAGUGUAGACUGCACUGCACAUAGCUCAGUGCAAUCUAUGCUAUUCCGCAAGGCUUGAAGCUAAUCAAUAUGCAGGUGAGCAUUGCAACUCUUCGUCAUUGUCUGUGCACUCACGGCUUAUAAACUGCUCAUAUUGCCUCUCUCUUGGCGAGGUGGGACUAAAAAUCAGCUUACAAAGAAACUCUAGUACCGGUUCAUGGCAUGAACCGGUACUAAAGGUCUUCGUGGGGCCCCAGCCUAACCAUAGCCUGACACAGCCUCAUUAGUACUGGUUCGUGGCAUGAACCAGUACUAAAGGUUGCCCACGAACCGGUACUAAUGAUGCCUGCCCGCCUAGCCGUUGGAACCGGCACUAAUGGUCACAUUAGUGCCGGCUCAAAUUCAAACCGGCACUAAUGUGCUUCACAUUUGACCCUUUUUCUACUAGUGCUACCUCGUUGUUAUUCUUUCUGAAGCUACUCAAGCUUGCCGUUUGCCUUCCAGUUAGCCUCAUGGUGAAUCAUCAUCAUUAUUAUUACGUAAACUUUGAAAAACGAACUAAUCCCUUUCAAUCUCUAGAUAACUAUUUCAUGGCGAGUCCUUUUGAUUUACCAUUUUCUAAAGAAGGUAGCAAUAACAGGUCGAAAACAGGUCCUGGCGGUACUACAACAUUGUUCAUAACGCCCUUAUUCUUCCUUGAUGUCGGGUGCCCUUAUUUUCAACAUCAUUCUGGCCAUACAACUCUUCAUAAUGUCCUUGUUCUUCGGAUGACAGUUCUCUUAGGACUAGAAAGAAAAAGGAAAUUAAAGAAUCAGGAGAAAGAAGAUUAUCAGGCAUGAGAAGGUAGAGUCAAAAACAAGAGAUAAGGAGAUAUGGUAAAUACUCACUCCAUCCGGAAAUACUUGUCAUCAAAAUAGAAGGGGGUGUAUCUAGACGUAUUUUAGUUCUAGAUACAUCUCUUUUUAUCUAUUUUGAUGAUAAUUAUUUUCGGACAGAGGGAGUAUGUUCUAGCAUAUAUUAUGUGGAAACCACAAGAGGAACCACAAGAAGGUACAACAGUAUUAAAAUAUUAUGUGGAAACCACAAGAAGGUACAACAGUACUAAAAUAUUAUGUGGAAACCACAAGUCAAUAUGAUACAUAUGUUCCAGCAUAGAGGUUAAAUGACAAGUUAAAGAACAGAAAUAUCUGCCUUCAUAAUUUAUAAUUGAAAACGUUGCUUAACCAGAGUUCCUAUAUAUAUAGCCUAUGGAAUCAAACAUAUGUUACCCGACACUGGAGUUUCCAAAAUUGCCUACAGAAUCAAUCAUAUAGUACGCGACACGUUCAACAGUUCUAAGAAGCAGUGCAAUGAAAGAUGAGAUGAACCACUUAUAAAAGUAAUGUAGCAUGAUCAGUGCAGCCUAUUAUAUCGAGGAACAACUUUUUUAAGAUGAUGUAUUGAUAAUAACAACAAACCCCAUCCGUUAAUACGUAUAAUGCAUAUGGAAAACAAAAUACUACUAGAAUGCACAUUGCAAAUAUUGGUUAUCUCAAGUUCACAACAGGUAUAUAUAGAUCACCCAAAGGCUAAAGACAAACCUUGCAGGAUCAAUCUUGAGAACAGGGAAUGUGGGUGGCCAUGUCAUCAUAAAAGGAUAAAUCCGUUCUAAAGUUCGGUCAUCUUCUGUCACCUCGUACACCUUACGCAGCUCCCUGUGUUUAAUAUCCAAGUAAAGUGCACAUUGGCCCAUCUUCAAGAACACAAACCGGAGAUUAUCCCCCGUUUCGCUUGUGUUUAAAAGAGUAGGCUGCUCACCACUGCCAUCCCCAGAGCAUCGAACAUCUCACACAAGCAAAUGUUCUCCAAAAGCAACCAGUUUCUCAUGCUGCCGCUGUUGUCCCCCCUAUGGAGCCAGAUGCGAAGCUGCAGUUUCUCAAGAUGUAUGAGAUAAAUCCGAAUCACUGGCCCGUGACAUCAUCAUAUCUUCACAAACGUACCGCUCGAUUCCUUCCGGGAGCGGAAUAGAGGAGAAGUUUGAGGUUGUCAAAUUCAAUGCAGCAAUGCUCGUGGAGUGCUCCAUAUAGAUCUUAUUGCCAGACAGCAAAGGAUUUAGAUCCGAUCGCGGAGAAGGAAGCACAGCCGCUGCUGAGGAACGCCAGUGCCAAAGACCAUCUUGCAGCGCAUAUAUGUUCGCCUUGUAUUUUAUAGAAUAUUUUUUCCCUCUAUGAGAUAAGCCAUUGACAACCAUAUGAAGGUGAGGCUCUUCCCGUCACCUUCUUCCUUCAAGAGGAAGUUGGCGCAAGUGCCUGCAGCUGAAGCGCCGUCAAAUUGGUCAUAUGGGGCCAUCGGCGGUUCAACAACGCCUCUCUCUGGGCAGAGUGGCCAGUGCACUCCCCACAAGAUUUUCUUGCCUUGGAAGCCAUGGAGAAGGAUGGUAUCGUUCUGGCGGUCAAGAAUGCAUGCAAGUUCACAGAGCAAUAGCAACCAUCAACAGUUACUCCCUCCGUUCGGAAUUACUUGUCUCGACAAGUAAUUCCGAACGGAGGGAGUACAUCACCAAGGUUGCAACUUUACCAACCACCACAUGAGACAUACAUACAGACACAUACAUACAUGCAGAUCCCCCGAUUUCCCACCACCGAUCCAACGCUUAAAGAGGUAAAAACGCGAAAUUGUCCUCCACGGAAAGGGAUAGAUAGAAGCGCCCACGGCGGGAGAGGAAGGGAGGAGAAGCAACCUUGGAGAGGUCGAGGAGAGCGUUCUGGCGGCAGCUCCUCGCCGCAGAGGUCGAUCNNNNNNNNNNNNNNNNNNNNNNNNNNNNNNNNNNNNNNNNNNNNNNNNNNNNNNNNNNNNNNNNNNNNNNNNNNNNNNNNNNNNNNNNNNNNNNNNNNNNNNNNNNNNNNNNNNNNNNNNNNNNNNNNNNNNNNNNNNNNNNNNNNNNNNNNNNNNNNNNNNNNNNNNNNNNNNNNNNNNNNNNNNNNNNNNNNNNNNNNNNNNNNNNNNNNNNNNNNNNNNNNNNNNNNNNNNNNNNNNNNNNNNNNNNNNNNNNNNNNNNNNNNNNNNNNNNNNNNNNNNNNNNNNNNNNNNNNNNNNNNNNNNNNNNNNNNNNNNNNNNNNNNNNNNNGAGGGAGACGGGGAGAGAAGAUGCUCUGUUUUUUCUGUGCGGUUCGCUCGGGCCCCAGGCCGAAAUGCUUUUCUUUUUCUUUUUUUAGUGGCGAAACGGUGUGAUAUAAUGGUGCCAUUUGUUUUUUACGGAUGAAAAUAAAAAAUCCAUAGUUUGAAGGCACGAUUUCUUUUAACACAGUAUACAAUCAAAGCCGCUCACAUGCAGUGACUUCGUAAAUCUCAAGAUUGAUAUGCCGGUUCAGUCUCUCAGAAGUACUCAUAGGGGUAGGAUGUGUGUGUGUGUGUUCAUAGGGGUGAGUGUAUGCGCGUAUGUAUGAGCGCUUGCGUUUGUAUUGUGUUUAAAAAAAUGAACAUACGCACGCACACAAUCAUGAUGUUUUUUAACAUUGUACAAUCAGAGUCGUUCACAUACAUGAGCAUACACCCAUCUCAAUGAACACACGCACGCACACGGCACACAUUACCCCUAUGAGCUCAUCUGAGAGACCGAGCCGACACAUCAUUUUAAGAUUGACGAAGUCGCCACAGACGCCUUCGUAGUCGACUAAAACGUCUCCUCUCACUGAACGUACAUCGCCAGAAGGUCUGAAUAAAUCCAAAAAAAUGCAAGCACCAAUGUCACGUUUGGGAUUUGAACUCUGGUGGAAUGGGGAUACCACUGUCGUGGGACAUGCAUCGGCUCACGGGACUCAAGGCGUCGUCGUCUCCCAUACCCUACUCUUCCUUGCUGGAGUCCGGAGCCUUGAUGGUGCCGGUCGAUGUGAGGUCUACGACAGAUCCGUCGUGGUCGGAGGCCACAUCCACCACGACGCGGGUGCGGCGCUCGGGGUUGUAGGCCAUCUGUUGAGGCGCCGGAGAGUGCAACUCUGCCUCGCUGACAUCUGUUGCGAGGGCUGCCGCGGCCACCCGCGCCCUCUGCCUCGCACGGCGGGUAUGCUGCAUCAUACACUCAGUGGACGGGCCAUGGAUGGCCUUGUCGUUCACGCGUCAAAAAGGGACCGCGCGUCAGCCACAGCGUUUGGACGCCAAACGGGGCGUACCGCCUCCGGCGAGGCAGCGGUGACCUACCUCGCGCUAGAUCCAUGCUCCAUUUGGGGCGGACAUGAUGGUUCGCCAUGGAUCAAGUCUGACCGCUAUCGGGCAUUCUCCUCGCGGGCGUGGUGGAGCGCAAUACGGACGGCCAACUCCUCCUUGGGGCUGGCUAGGAUGAGGUUCGAGUUUAUGGACCGGCUGACGGAGGACUCGAAUCCGCUGCCCGCGGAGAAGGCCGAAGAUCGCCGGGCGGGAGCUUGGGUGGCAGAGUAAAGUGGAGUGGAGUGGCUAGGGUUUGGUCCGGAGAGUGGAUGAGGACAAUUCUAUGUGUGGUUGAGUGAGCCGACUCCGACAUGGCGGACUAGCCCGGGCAUCCCCAUAUCCUCCUCAUAUUUGGGCUGAAUAUGAGAAGUGUCGAUCAGCCCGACGUUUGAUGCCGAUUUGAAUCGUCCGUCGAGGUGAUAUUUUUUGAUCGGUCACUAAUCGAGCGAUCCGUCUGAGCGAUUGACGGAGUAUACAAGUGGAUUAACUACUUAUGGCAGUACCACAUUACUCUCUUCGUUUCUCAAAUUAAACUGCCAAGACAUCAUAUAUUUGGAAACAUGGCAAUAAAUGAUUGUACUGUGUUCAAGAAAAAAUGAUCACCUCGUAGUCUCGUAGGGCAGCCUUCACGAGACAAAGCAUCGGACAGAACAUGCCCAUACCGAAGUGCUCUUAUGAAUCGUCAUGUUGGAAACUUGUCCUAAUGCGGUGCGGAGGACUUAGCCCAUAUGGUGUUUAAGUGUGUAAAGGUGCAAGCAGUUUGGAAAGCUUUGGGAAUCGUAGCACCUAUUAACUUUGCUUCAUUGACUGAUCGAGCAGGUUCAGCAGUCUUGGAGUUCAUUUUAUGUGAUGAUUCUUAUCGACGACAAUAUUCUGAAUUGGUCGAGCUACCAGAGCUCAUAUCAAUAGUUUGUUGGUUCUUAUGGUGGCAAAGAAGACAAUUCGUGCGAGGGGAAGAAAUAUUGACUCCAGAACAAACAGCGCCAGCGGUGGUUGCCCUAGCGAUUAAUUUUGUGCGCGGAGCACAAGCUAAAUCUAAACCCAAGAUCAACAGGUGGCCAACAUUCCUAGCAGGACAACUUGUCCUUAAUGUCGAUGCUUCAUUCACAGAGGGUGAUUAUGCAGGGUCUUGUGGUGCUGUCAUCCGUGAUCACCGGGGAUCUUUCAUGUCGGCGUCCACGGCGAGAUUAGAACAUAUAGCUGAUGUGUUCACGGCAGAAGCGGCAAGAGAUACGGGAUGCAAUAACUUGGUGGUGAGAUCGGAUAAUAUCAUGGUGGUGGAUGCACUUAAAUUCAAUGAAGGUUACUCUAUGGUGGCAGCGCCGGUUCUUGAUGAAUGUCAUAGUUAUCUAGUAGAUUUCAGGAGGUUUACUAUUGAGCAUUGUAUUAGAGAGUCAAAUUAUGUAGCUCAUGAGCUGGCUAAAUGGGGACGUGCUAAUAAUCCAUCUCGUUGGAUUGAUGACCCGCCUGAUUUCAUUGUGAGUCUGCUAGCAGACGAUAUAUCCGUCCUUUUAUAAAGUAAGUUUUCCCUAAAAAAAGCAUCGGACAGAACAAUCCUCCAAGGAACCGUCGACCAUACGAAACACAGAACCCCAAUCGUGCGCCGUACCCACCUAUAUAUAUAACAAGAGUAAAAUGCAUCAUAAGUCCUAAAACUAUCGGAGGUGUGUCAGUUUAGUCCUAUAACUUUGAAACUGCACUUUUGGGUCCUAAAACUAUCAGAGGUGUGUCAGUUUAGUCCUAUAACUUUGAAACUGCACUUUUGGGUUCUAAAACUAUCAAAGGUGUGUCAGUUUAGUCCUAUAACUUUGAAACAGUAGUUGUGGGUCCCAAAACUAUGUAAGUUUCUUCCUCUUAGGUCCUAAGCUUGCAUGGUUAGCAUUGACCCACCAACGAGUCACUUGGAAAUGCUUGGAUUGUAGCCACGUUGACCUGACCCAAUGGGCCCACCAGGUAAAUAUGCAAAAAAAAACUAGAGCGUUGUCUCGCCUCGUUCUCACGCGCUCGUCUUCUCCCACGCACGGAAUGCUCAGAGGCGACGGUACAGAGGCCAUCAGUGGAAUGAUGGUUUGAGCUCCAGCGAGGAGAGUAGACCGGUCAUCUCAGCCUCCCCCAACAGCAGCAGAACGACAUGUCGCACAACGUCCAAUUGCUACCCACCUAUGGCUACUGCUAGGGUUGUGUCACUCUCGACGACCUCUGCGCCAGCUUUGCAGUUUCCGCGCACUCCUCUGUGUCGCCCGACAGCUCACCACCUAUGACCAUGCUCGUGCCCAAACAACAGCCUGCACGGCCAACUCUACGGCAAGGGUGUCGGGGCAACGACGAUAUCAUCAAACAGAGAGAGAGAGAGAGGUGGGAUGGCAUACUCCAUCCCAAUUGGCUCGGGAUCUCCCCGGCGGCCUUGCCGAGGGAGAGGGAUGUCGUCCUUCAUGUCGACUAGCUCGGGGUCUCCCCGACGGUCACGCCAAACCUCUCAGGGAGGCUACUGUGCAGCUCAUGGCCAUGCAGGUUGCAGGACACACUGCAACGUGGAAGCGUAUGUACCACUUUGGGAGAUAUAAACACAUACAAAGGACUCAAUUGAAAAAAUGCACCAUGGAUGGUGGCCAUGCAAGAUUAGGACCUCAGAUGAACAAACAUACAUAGUUUUGAGACCCAAAACUGCAAUUUUGAAGUUAUGGGACUAAAAAUGACACACCUCCAAUAGUUUUAGGACCCAAAAGUGCAGUUUCGAAGUUAUAGGACUAAACUGACAUACUUCCGAUAGUUUUAGGACCCAAAAGUGCAGUUUGAAAGUUAUAGGACUAAACUGACACACCUAUGAUAGUUUUAGGACUUGUGAUGCAUUUUACUCAUAUAACAAACUCCACACAUCUUGCAACCAAAACCCUAUCCCUCACCCUCACCCUCAACCUCAAGCAACCGCGUCGCCGCCCCUCCGAAGCGUUCGUGCCGCAGCUCCACCAUGAAGGUACGCGCUGCUCUUCACCUCCCGAUGCACGCAGAUGUGACCUGUGCCUGUGCGACGCCUGAUUUGUGUGGCCUUUUGCGUUGGUUUCAAUUCAAGAUCGUGAGCGAAGAAGACGAGGAGCUGUGAGUGUUUCUCGUCUCCCGCCCCAUUCGUCCUCUAGACCCGCAUCGCGUAAUCAGUAUAAUCAUCAUACUUGACUGCUUUUGGGAAACGGCGUGUCUGUUUAGUUCGUGGUUCUUUUGAUCGGCCCGUGUUUGUUUGGACUUUUGGCAGUCACUGAAUGUUGUUGUCUUGCGCAUCUUUCUAAUGCUUGGUGUUGGUGUAACUUUUCUUUUACUGUACUUUGUUAGUCUGGAUGGUGCGGGUCUAUUAUUGGUGAAUGCAUGUGUUAAUACGACCCUCUUAUUGAUAUCAUGGUGCGAUUUGAAUCACGUUGAAGCUUCAACUGAACACUUCUAUAAGCGUUGUGGAGGGUGUUCUUAAACAAUAAUACCGUGUCGCAGAGGCUAGCUACUAGCUUGUUUCGAUGUUCAAAUGUAGUUUCAAGUUGCAUUUAGGUCAGUUAAUGUACACUUCCCACUUUGAUCUAUAGAUAAACGCACUUGUAUGUAUUCCGAGUUUAGAAAGUGCACAGCAAUACCAAGUAUUGUCCGAGGAUUGAGAAUAUGCAACCCUUCCACAUUCUUAACAAAUUGAUUAACGCCAAAUGGUUUCAAGCAUUCUUAACAAAGCAGUUUUUACUUCUGAAACCACCAUAAGCAGACUUUUAGUGGUUAAUAAUCAGUAUAUUGAAGUUUGUUGAUUGACUAAAUAUUCCAGUUGGAAUUUGCUCUUUUCUUUUUUUAAUUCAGAUAUCUAACAUUUUGGUAUGAACUACAGGAGGAGAAUCUCUAAGGAGGUACUAUCCUCUUCUGGGUUGGCAACAUAUUUCAUGAUACAUAAACCCUUCAGCUGAUGUUUUGAUAGUUUUGAUCAAAGACAUCUGUCAUUUCCUGUAUUUUCAGGAAUUCAAGGGUUAUAUCUUCACAAUCAUUGGUGGCUGCGAUAAGCUGGGCUUCCCAAUGAAGCAAGGAGUGCAAACUUCUAGGCGUGUCUGCCUUCUUCUUCACAGGGGUAUAACUUUAUUUCCAUGGUACUUCUUACCCACAUCUUUCCUUCUUAAAUUGAACUCUUAAUCUCUUUUGUCUCAAUUCUGUAGAUAUCCCUUGCUUCCGUGGGUAUGGCAGGCGUACAAAGACUUGUCUCGGACGCAAGAAAGAUAGAAGGAUUUGCGCUUUUGGCAAGUAACAGGAGGAUGAAUAGGAGCUUAGAAGAGGGAGUGGUAAUGAGAUUAGACGUCGGAUAUGUUGUUUAGUCCCACUCCUUAGUUUGUUAUCUUAUGGGAAUUAUGUGUUGGAGAAGUUUGUGGGAAUUUAUUAGGAUUAAUCAAGAUAUAUGACAUAAGUUGUGAUAAAUCUUUAAGAGAAUUCUCUCCUAAUUCCCACCGACUGCAUGUUUUAACAGUGGAAGUUGGGAUCUCAAACUACUCCUCGUCAAUUCCCAAACCCAGUAACUUUGUACCCUUUCAAUUCUCACUUAACCAAAGAGGGUGUAAAGUAAAGGCAGUCUAAAGAUGGUAUUUGUUACUAGGGGUUGAGUCAUGGCAGUGCACAACUCACUCUGGUACCCAAUUCCUGCCUAAAAUUGGCCUCCAUGGGUCUUCCUGAGAACUAGGAAGGGUAGGGAAGGCUGGUAGAUAAAUGAAGGUAGUCCACAUUGCAAAAUUUGGCUCGUGUCAAAAUAGUGGUCAAAUGGCAAAUGUUGGACCAAUGGAUCGUAUGAUGAUCUUCUAGAUCAUGGCAUCUAUGGGUAGGUGUGGACUAAAGACAAGAUGCCAAAGUCUCCUCUAGAUGGAGGAGCGGAAAUUAGGUUUUCAUCCUUUCUAAGAUAUUGGGCAUAAAAAAAUAAAUUUACCACGGAAAUAUUGGAACUAUGGAGUCCCAUUUUGUGGGUAUUGGGUUUGUAUGGUCACACGAAGCUCUAUAGGGGUGUUCUUGGAAUUUUCAAGUGGUAGAAAAAUGGGUUCCUUUGUAAUGGUGGAAUAUACAAGAGGCUCGUAAUAGGGAGGUAAUUAUUUUCCCAUGGGCUAUGACUUUGGCUUUAUACUAUGUGUAGUGGCAUGGUUUGCACAAGGGAUCCACAUUGGUUUUACCAUGCCAUGUGACAUCGAGUUUGAGAUGGCCAAAGCAAACACAAGAGAAAACAAAAGGAAGAAUCACCAAAAAAGUAAAUAAAAAACAAGAAAUGAAAAUCGGUAUGGUACACAAAUGGGGAAGGAUGUCCCAUCGAGGGAUGUAUAAUAUGAUCUAGCCAAUGUCUCAAGCAGCGUCGAAUCAUAGAGACGUGCUCUCUAGAUCUGGAGCUUUUUUAGGAGGCCUCACGCGAGGAUACGAUAGAUCUGGACCUCCCAGACAUCAAUUCCAACAAAUGGGUGAUAUAAUGAAGGGAUGAUUCGUGAGGUGAAUGAAACCUAUAGGAUGAUAGUUUUGGUGUAAAUGUGUGUGGGAGAUUUAGCCAUCUCCCUAGUGCCAAGUUGAGGAUUGACCUGGAGGGUGCCAUACUACUAAAAGGGCUUCUCUCUCCGGGCAUCUGCUCAGCGAGGGGCAGUCCCAAGUGGCCAUAUGACAUGCAAGAUUGCUUCUCCCUUUUGUUGUCUUUACUCCUGAGGAAAGGGUAUGGUGUAGUCCUAUAGCAUAGGGCCUAGCAAAAAGCCUCACCCGAUGCUUACGCGUCUGCCCUAAUAAUAACUAGGAGUACAUCAUGUUCCAACUGAAAAUUAAAAUAUAUGCACACUUCUUUGGGCCAAGCAGUUGAGCCUCUUUAUGUUUUUCCUUUUCAGAAAUCUUGAGCUUAUUUAUGUUUAAGGACAUGUUGAGAAUAUUAUUAUUAUUAUUAUUAUUAUUAUUAUUAUUAUUAUUAUUAUUAUUAUUAUUAUUAUUAUUAUUAUUAUUAUCAUCAUCAUUANNNNNNNNNNNNNNNNNNNNNNNNNNNNNNNNNNNNNNNNNNNNNNNNNNNNNNNNNNNNNNNNNNNNNNNNNNNNNNNNNNNNNNNNNNNNNNNNNNNNNNNNNNNNNNNNNNNNNNNNNNNNNNNNNNNNNNNNNNNNNNNNNNNNNNNNNNNNNNNNNNNNNNNNNNNNNNNNNNNNNNNNNNNNNNNNNNNNNNNNNNNNNNNNNNNNNNNNNNNNNNNNNNNNNNNNNNNNNNNNNNNNNNNNNNNNNNNNNNNNNNNNNNNNNNNNNNNNNNNNNNNNNNNNNNNNNNNNNNNNNNNNNNNNNNNNNNNNNNNNNNNNNNNNNNNNNNNNNNNNNNNNNNNNNNNNNNNNNNNNNNNNNNNNNNNNNNNNNNNNNNNNNNNNNNNNNNNNNNNNNNNNNNNNNNNNNNNNNNNAUAUAAAGAAGCUCAACAUUCUAGAGUAUCAUGUUUCUCCAAUGUUGCACAAGGUUGGAUUAUGGCAAGUACUCUUGCCUUUUUAGUUUUUUUUGUUGAUUUCUUCAAUUGCAUAUAAGACUUAACCGUAUCUAAGAAUGAAACUCAACCGCAUGAGAAGAUGGACACUUCAGUACAUGUGAGUUACCUUGUAUUCUCUUCCCCACGCGUCGCGCCACCGCCACUGCCUAGGAGUGGUGGAUCUACCAUGAAUAGGUUGACAUGAGCCUUUCACCACGACAAGGCUAUCAACCCCAUAGGAAAACCACGGUCAAACGACGGGAUAUGAUGGAUUCCGGCGGAAAUUGCCGGAGGAAGGUAAACCCUAGAAAAACCGCAACGGCCUAAUUUAAUUGUGUCAAUGCAGACAGGCAUAAGCCCAUUUUAUAGUUGAUUCCUAUUUUACGCAUAGGUUGCUAGAAAGCGACCUAGCGCGCACCCUCUCAUGAUCCUCUGUACGGGUCAGCCCAUGGUGCUUUUUCACCGGUUCUAGAACCUUCCCUGGAUCUUUUUUUCUUCUGGCUUUUUCUUUCUUUUAUCUUUUUUGGAUUUUCCUUUUUGUUUUUAUUUUGUUAUUUUGUUAACUUUGUUUUUAUUUUUUGUUUUCAUGUUUUUUGUUUUUACAAGAAAACUUUAGAUCUAUUCAUCUUCAAUCAUGGUAGUACAACAAAUAUCAAAAAUAAUUAAAAAAAAGUAGAUCCAAAUCCGUAGGCCACCUAGCAACAAAUAUCGAAGGCGCGCCGCCGUCAUCAACCCUCCCUCGCCGGGGCCGGGCAAAAUUUGUCGUAGUAGACAAUCGAGAAGUCGUCGUGCUAAGACCCUAUAGGACUAGUGCACCAGAACAACAACCACCGUGAUGAAGAGUUGCGUAAAUCAGAAGGAUCCAACAUGAAAAACACGGAUCCGAGCGGAUCCACCAAAGACAGAUCCUCGAGGCACACCUCCACACGCACAUCGAUGAUGCCAUAUGCACCACCGGAACAGGGGCUAGGUAGGGAUAACCUUAGUCCAUCUUGAGAGAGUCGUUGUCGUCUCGCCUGGCUGAGCAGGACAUAAAUCCUAACAAAACUCAAAUAAACAUCUAAUAACGGAGCCCUCCUGCCGGCAAGGGUCAGGAUCCAUCGUGCCCAAAUGGCCCUAAUGUUGGGAAACGUUGCAGAAAACAAAAAUGUUCCUACGGUUUCACCAAGAUCCAUCUAGGAGUUCAUCUAGCAACGAGUGAUUGGAUUGCAUCUACAUACCUUUGUAGAUCACGCGCGGAAGCGUUCAAAGAACGGGGAUGAGGAAGUCAUACUCAACGUGAUCCAAAUCACCGGAGAUCCUAGCGCCGAACGGACGGCACCUCCGCGUUCAACACACGUACGGUCAGCGUGACGUCUCCUCCUUCUUGAUCCAGCAAGGGGGGAGGAGAGGUUGAGGAAGAUGGCUCUAGCAGCAGCACGACGGCGUGGUGGUGAUGGAGCUGCAGUACUCCGGCAGGGCUUCGCGAAGCUCUAUGGAGGAGGAGGAGGUGUUGGAGAGGGAGAGGGAGGCACCAAAGGCGUGGAUUGAGAGGCCCUCCUUCCCAGUCUUGAUCCGUGUUAACCCAACAGACACUUUCGGAGAUACCCGUAGUAUACCUUUAUAGUCACCCAGUUACGUUGUGACGUUUGGUACACCCAAAGCACUCCUACGGUAUCCGGGAGUUACACGAUCUCAUGGUCUAAGGAAAAGAUACUUGACAUUGGAAAACUCUAGCAAACGAACUAUACGAUCUUAUGCUAUGUUUAGGAUUGGGUCUUGUCCAUCACAUCAUUCUCCUAAUGAUGUGAUCUUGUUAUCAAUGACAUCUAAUGUCCAUAGUCAGGAAACCAUGACUAUCUGUUGAUCAACGAGCUAGUCAACUAGAGGCUUACUAGGGACAUGUUGGUGUCUAUUAUUCACACAUGUAUUACGAUUUCCGGAUAACACAAUUAUAGCAUGAAUAAAGACAAUUAUCAUGAACAAGGAAAUAUAAUAAUAAUGCUUUUAUUAUUGCCUCUAGGGCAUAUUUCCAACAGUCUCCCACUUGCACUAGAGUCAAUAAUCUAGUUACAUUGUGAUGAAUCGAACACCCAUGGAAUUCUGGUGUUGAUCAUGUUUUGCUCUAGGGAGAGGUUUAGUCAAUGGAUCUGCUACAUUCAGGUCCGUAUGUACUUUACGAAUAUCUAUGUCUCCAUCUUGAACAUUUUCACGAAUGGAGUUGAAGCGACGCUUCAUGUGCCUGGUCUUCUUGUGAAACCUGGGCUCCUUGGCAAGUGCAAUAGCUCCAGUGUUGUCACAGAAGAGUUUGAUUGGCCCCGACGCAUUGGGUAUGACUCCUAGGUCGGUGAUGAACUCCUUCACCCAAAUUGCUUCAUGCGCUGCCUCUGAGGCUGCCAUGUACUCCGCUUCACAUGUAGAUCCCGCCACGACGCUCUGCUUGCAACUGCACCAGCUUACUGCCCCACCAUUCAAAAUAUAUACGUAUCCGGUUUGUGACUUUGAGUCAUCCAGAUCUGUGUCGAAGCUAGCAUCGACGUAACCCUUUACGACGAGCUCUUCGUCACCUCCAUAGACGAGAAACAUUUCCUUAGUCCUUUUCAUGUACUUCUGGAUAUUCUUGACCGCUGUCCAGUGUUCCUUGUCGGGAUUACUUUGGUACCUACCUACCAAACUUACGGCAAGGUUUACAUCAGGUCUGGUACACAGCAUGGCAUACAUAAUAGAACCUAUGGCUGAGGCAUAGGGGAUGACACUCAUCUCUUCUAUAUCUUCUGCCAUGGUCGGAUAUUGAGCUGAGCUCAAUUUCACACCUUGCAACACAGGCAAGAACCCCUUCUUAGACUGAUUCAUAUUGAAUUUCUUCAAUAUCUUAUCAAGGUAUGUGCUUUGUGAAAGACCUAUGAGGCGUCUUGAUCUAUCUCUAUAGAUCUUGAUGCCUAAUAUAUAUGCAGCUUCUCCAAGGUCCUUCAUUGAAAAACUCUUAUUCAAGUAGGCCUUAAUGUUGUCCAAAAGUUCUAUAUCAUUUCCCAUCAAAAGUAUGUCAUCUACAUAUAAUAUGAGAAAUGCUACAGAGCUCCUACUCACUUUCUUGUAAACGCAGGCUUCUCCAUAAGUCUGCAUAAACCCAAACGCUUUGAUCAUCUCAUCAAAGCAAAUGUUCCAACUCCGAGAUGCUUGCACCAACCCAUAAAUCGAGCGUUAGAGCUUACACACCUUGUCAGCAUUCUUAGGAUUGACAAAACCUUCCGGCUGCAUCAUAUACAAUUCUUCCUUAAGGAAACCAUUAAGGAAUGCCGUUUUGACGUCCAUUUGCCAUAUCUCAUAAUCGUAGAAUGUGGCAAUUGCUAACAUGAUUCGGACGGACUUUAGCUUCGCUACCGGUGAGAAAGUCUCAUCGUAGUCAACCCCUUGAACUUGUCGAUAACCCUUAGCGACAAGCCGAGCUUUAUAGAUGGUCACAUUACCAUCCGCGUCUGUCUUCUUCUUAAAGAUCCAUUUAUUUUCUAUGGCUCGCCGCUCAACGGGCAAGUCAGUCAAAGUCCAUACUUCGUUUUCAUACAUGGAUCCUAUCUCGGAUUUCAUGACUUCUAGCCAUUUGUCGGAAACUGGGCCCGCCAUCACUUCUUCAUAGUUUGAAGGUUCACCGUUGUCUAACAACAUGAUUUCCAAGACAGGGUUGCCGUACCACUCUGGUGCGGAACGUGUCCUUGUGGACCUUCGAAUUUCAGUAGGAGCUUGAUCAGAAGUAUCUUGAUCAUCAUCAUUAACUUCCUCUCUAGUCGGUGCAGGCACCUCAGAAACAUUUUCUGGCUGCGCCAUUUUCCGGUUCAAGAGGUAAUACUUCAUCAAGUUCUACUUUCUUCCCACUUACUUCUUUCGAGAGAAACUCUUUCUCUAGAAAGGACCCAUUCUUGGCAACAAAGAUCUUGCCUUCGGAUCUGAGGUAGAAGGUAUACCCAAUAGUUUCUUUAAGGUAUCCUAUGAAGACGCAUUUUUCCGAUUUGGGUUCGAGCUUUUCAGGUUGAAGUUUGUUGACAUAAGCAUCGCAUCCCCAAACUUUUAGAAACGACAGCUUAGGUUUCUUCCCAAACCAUAAUUCAUACGGUGUCGUCUCAACGGAUUUCGAUGGAGCCCUAUUUAAAGUGAAUGCGGCAGUCUCUAAAGCAUACCCCCAAAAAGAUAACGGUAAAUCGGUAAGAGACAUCAUAGAUCGCACCAUAUCUAAUAGAGUGUGAUUACGACGUUCGGACACACCAUUACGCUGAGGUGUUCCAGGCGGCGUGAGUUGUGAAACUAUUCCACAUUUUCUUAAGUGUGUGCCAAACUCAUGACUCAAGUAUUCUCCUCCACGAUCUGAUCGCAGGAACUUGAUUUUCCUGUCACGUUGAUUCUCAACCUCACUCUGAAAUUCCUUGAACUUUUCAAAGGUCUCAUACUUGUGUUUCAUUAAGUAGACAUACCCAUAUCUACUCAAGUCAUCAGUGAGGGUGAGAACAUAACGAUAGCCACCCUGAGCCUCAACACUCAUUGGACCGCACACAUCAGUAUGUAUGAUUUCCAAUAAGUUGGUUGCUCGCUCCAUUGUUCCUGAGAACGGAGUCUUGGUCAUUUUACCCAUGAGGCAUGGUUCACACGUGUCAAAUGAUUCGUAAUCAAGAGACUCUAAAAGUCCAUCAGCAUGGAGCUUCUUCAUGCGUUUGACACCUAUGUGACCAAGGCGGCAAUGCCACAAGUAUGUGGGACUAUCAUUAUCAAUCUUACAUCUUUUGGUACUCACACUAUGAACAUGUGUAGCAUUACGCUCGAGAUUUCAUUAAGAAUAAACCAUUCACCAUCGGAGCGUGACCAUAAAACAUAUCUCUCAUAUAAAUAGAACAACCAUUAUUCUCGGAUUUAAAUGAGUAGCCAUCUCGAAUUUAAACGAGAUCCUGAUACAAUUUUCAUGCUCAAACUUGGCACUAAAUAACAAUUAUUGAGGUUCAAAACUAAUCCCGUAGGUAAAUGUAGAGGUAGCGUGCCGACGGCGAUCACAUCGACCUUGGAACCAUUCCCGACGCGCAUCGUCACCUCGUCCUUCGCCAGUCUCCAUUUAUUCCGCCGCUCCUGCUUUGAGUUACAAGUGUGAGCAACUGCACCGGUAUCAAAUACCCAGGAGCUACUACGAGUACUGGUAAGGUACACAUCAAUUACAUGUAUAUCACAUAUACCUUUCAUUUUGCCGGCCUUCUUGUCCGCUAAGUAUUUGGGGCAGUUCCGCUUCCAGUGACCACUUUCCUUGCAAUAAAAGCACUCAGUCUCGGGCUUGGGUCCAUUCUUUGGCUUCUUCCCGGCAGCUUGCUUGCCGGGUGCGGCAACUCCCUUGUCGUCCUUUUUGAAGGCUUUCUUACCCUUGCCCUUCUUGAACUUAGUGGUUUUAUUCACCAUCAACACUUAAUGUUCCUUUUUGACUUCUACCUCUGCUAAUUUCAGCAUUGCAAAUACUUCAGGAAUGGUCUUUUCCAUCCCCUGCAUAUUGAAGUUCAUCACAAAACUCUUGUAGCUUGGUAGAAGCGACUGGAGGAUUCUGUCAAUGACCGCGUCAUCCGGGAGAUUAACUCCCAGCUGAGUCAAGCGGUUAUGCAACCCAGACAUAGUGAGUAUGUGCUCACUGACAGAACUAUUUUCCUCCAUCUUACAGCUGAAGAACUUGUCGGAGAAUUCAUAUCUCUCGACCCGGGCAUGAGCUUGAAAAACCAUUUUCAGCUCUUCGAACAUCUCAUAUGCUCUGUGUCUCUCGAAACGCUUUUGGAGUCCCGGCUCUAAGCUGUAAAGCAUGCCGCACUGAACGAGGGAGUAGUCAUCGGUACGUGCCUGCCAAGCAUUCAUAACAUCUUGUUCUGCAGGGAGAACAGGUGCGUCACCCAGCGGUGCUUGUAGGACAUAAUCUUUCUUGGCAGCUAUGAGGAUGAUCCUCAGGUUCCGGACCCAGUCCGUGUAGUUGCUGCCAUCGUCUUUCAGCUUGGUUUUCUCUAGGAACGUGUUGAAGUUGAGGACUACGUUGGCCAUUUGAUCUACAAGACAUAUUGUAAAAAAAAUUAGACUAAGUUCAUGAUAAUUAAGUUCAUCUAAUCAAAUUAUUCAAUGAACUCCCACUUAUAUAGACAUCCCUCCUGUUCUAAGUAUAACAUGAUCCGAGUUAACUAGGCCGUGUCCGAUCAUCACGUGAGACGGACUAGUCAACAUCGGUGAAUAUCUUCAUGUUGAUCGUAUCUUCUAUACGACUCAUGCUCGACCUUUCGGUCUUCUGUGUUUCGAGGCCAUGUCUGUACAUGCUAGGCUCGUCAAGUCAACCUAAGUGUUUGCAUGUGUAAAUCUGUCUUACACCCGUUGUAUGUGAACGUUGGAAUCUAUCACACCCGAUCAUCACGUGGUGCUUCGAAACAACAAACUGUCGCAACGGUGCACAGUUAGGGGGAAAACUUUCUUGAAACUAUUAUGAGGGAUCAUCUUAUUUACUACCGUCGUUCUAAGCAAACAAGAUGCAAAAACAUGAUAAACAUCACAUGCAAUCAAAUAAUAAUGGUGACAUGAUAUGGCCAAUAUCACAUAGCUCCUUUGAUCUCCAUCUUGGGGCUCCAUGAUCAUCUUGUCACCGGCAUGACACCAUGAUCUCCAUCAUCAUGAUCUCCAUCAUCGUGUCUCCAUGAAGUUGCUCGCCAACUAUUACUUCUACUACUAUGGCUAACGCGUUUAGCAAUAAAGUAAAGUAAUUUACAUGGCGUUUCUCAAUAACACGCAGGUCAUACAAAAAAUAAAUACAACUCCUAUGGCUCCUGCCGGUUGUCAUACUCAUCGACAUGCAAGUCGUGAUUCCUAUUACAAUAGCAUGAACAACUCAUACAUCACACAUAUCAUUCAUCAUUCAUCACAACUUUGGCCAUAUCAUAUCACAAAUCACUUGCUGCAAAAACAAGUUAGACGUCCUCUAAUUGUUGUUGCAAGUUUUACAUGGCUGAAAUAGGGUUCUAGCAAGAACGUUUUCUUACCUAUGUGAAAGCCACAACGUGAUUUGUCAACUUCUAUUUACCCUUCAUAAGGACCCUUUUCAUCGAAUCCGCUCCAACUAAAGUGGGAGAGCCAGCCACCCGCCAGCCACCUUAUGCAACUUGUGCAUGUUAGUCGGUGGAACCGGUCUCACAUAAGCGUACGUGUAAGGUUGGUCCGGGCCGCUUCAUUCCACAAUACCGUUGAAGCAAGAUAAGACUAGUAGCGGCAAGAAAGUUGACAACAUCAACGCCCACAACAAAUUGUGUUCUACUCGUGCAAGAGAACUACGCAUAAACCUAGCUCAUGAUGCCACUGUUGGGAAAUGUUGCAGAAAACAAAAAUUUUCCUACGGUUUCACCAAGAUCCAUCUAGGAGUUCAUCUAGCAACGAGUGAUUGGAUUGCAUCUACAUACCUUUGUAGAUCACGCACGGAAGCGUUCAAAGAACGGGCAUGAGGAAGUCGUACUCGACGUGAUCCAAAUCACCGGAGAUCCUAGCGCCGAACGGACGGCACCUCCGCGUUCAACACACGUACGGUCAGCGUGACGUCUCCUCCUUCUUGAUCCAGCAAGGGGAGAGGAGAGGUUGAGGAAGAUGGCUCCAGCAGCAGCACGACGACGUGGUGGUGAUGGAGCUGCAGUACUCCGGCAGGGCUUCGCGAAGCUCUAUGGAGGAGGAGGAGGUGUUGGAGAGGGAGAGGGAGGCACCAAAGGCGUGGCUUGAGAGGCCCUCCUUCUGUUGGGGAACGCAGUAAUUUCAAAAAAAAUUCCUACGCACACGCAAGAUCAUGGUGAUGCAUAGCAACGAGAGGGGAGAGUAUGAUCUACGUACCCUUGUAGAUCGCAACGGAAGCGUUGACACAACGUAGAGGAAGUAGUCGUAUGUCUUCUUCCCGGUCCGACCGAUCCAAGCACCGUUACUCCGGCACCUCCGAGUUCUUAGCACACGUACAGCUCGAUGACGCUCCCCGGGCUCCGAUCCAGCAAAGCUUCGGGGAUGAGUUCCGUCAGCACAACGGCGUGGUGACGAUGAUGAUGUUCUACCGACGCAGGGCUUCGCCUAAGCACUACAACGAUAUGACCGAGGUGGAAUAUGGUGGCAGGAGGCACCGCACAUGGCUAAGGAACGAUCGCGAGGAUCAACUUGUGUCUAGAGGUGCCCCCUGCCCCCGUAUAUAAAGGAUCCAAGGGGGAGGGGGCGGCCGGCCAGGAGGAGGGCGCAGGAGGAGUCCUACUCCUACCGGAAGUAGGACUCCCCCCAAUCCUAGUUGGAAUAGGAUUCCCCGAGGGGGAAAGAGAGAGAGGGGGGUCGGCCACCCCUCCUUGUCCUAAUAGGACUAGGGGAGGGGGGAGGCGCGCGGCCCACCUUGGGCUGCCCCUUUCUCCUUUCCACUAAAGCCCACUAAGGCCCAUAUAGCUCCCGGGGGGUUCCGGUAACCUCCCGGUACUCCGGUAAAAUCUCGAUUUCACCCGGAACACUUCCCAUAUCCAAACAUGGGCUUCCAAUAUAUCAAUCUUUAUGUCUCGACCAUUUAGAGACUCCUCGUCAUGUCCGUGAUCACAUCCGGGACUCCGAACUAACUUCGGUACAUCAAAAUGCAUAAACUCAUAAUAACUGUCAUCGUAACGUUAAGCGUGCGGACCCUACGGUUCGAGAACAAUGCAGACAUGACUGAGACACAUCUCCGGUCAAUAACCAAUAGCGGGACCUGGAUGCCCAUAUUGGCUCCUACAUAUUCUACGAAGAUCUUUAUCGGUCAGACCGCAUAACAACAUACGUUGUUCCCUUUGUCAUCGGUAUGUUACUUGCCUGAGAUUCGAUCGUCGGUAUCCAAUACCUAGUUCAAUCUUGUUACCGGCAAGUCUCUUUACUCGUUCCGUAAUACAUCAUCUCACAACUAACAUAUUAGCUGUAAUGCUUGCAAGGCUUAUGUGAUGUGCAUUACCGAGAGGGCCCAGAGAUACCUCUCCGACAAUCGGAGUGACAAAACCUAAUCUCGAAAUACGCCAACCCAACAUGUACCUUUGGAGACACCUGUAGUACUCCUUUAUAAUCACCCAGUUACGUUGUGAUGUUUGGUAGCACCCAAAGUGUUCCUCCAGUAAACGGGAGUUGCAUAAUCUCAUAGUUAUAGGAACAUGUAUAAGUCAUGAAGAAAGCAAUAGCAACAUACUAAACGAUCGAGUGCUAAGCUAAUGGAAUGGGUCAUGUCAAUCAGAUCAUUCACUUAAUGAUGUGAUCCCGUUAAUCAAAUAACAACUCAUUGUUCAUGGUUAGGAAACAUAACCAUCUUUGAUUAACGAGCUAGUCAAGUAGAGGCAUACUAGUGACACUUUGUUUGUCUAUGUAUUCACACAUGUAUUAUGUUUCCGGUUAAUACAAUUCUAGCAUGAAUAAUAAACAUUUAUCAUGAUAUAUAAGGAAAUAAAUAAUAACUUUAUUAUUGCCUCUAGGGCAUAUUUCCUUCAGUCUCCCACUUGCACUAGAGUCAAUAAUCUAGAUUACACAGUAAUGAUUCUCACACCCAUGGAGCCUUGGUGCUGAUCAUGUUUUGCUCGUGGAAGAGGCUUAGUCAACGGGUCUGCGACAUUCAGAUCCGUAUGUAUCUUGCAAAUCUCUAUGUCUCCCACCUGGACUAGAUCCCGGAUGGAAUUGAAGCGUCUCUUGAUGUUCUUGGUUCUCUUGUGAAAUCUGGAUUCCUUUGCCAAGGCAAUUGCACCAGUAUUGUCACAAAAGAUUUUCAUUGGACCCGAUGCACUAGGUAUGACACCUAGAUCGGAUAUGAACUCCUUCAUCCAGACUCCUUCGUUUGCUGCUUCCGAAGCAGCUAUGUACUCCGCUUCACAUGUAGAUCCCGCCACAACGCUUUGUUUAGAACUGCACCAACUGACAGCUCCACCGUUUAAUGUAAACACGUAUCCAUUUUGCAAUUUAGAAUCGUCCGGAUCAGUGUCAAAGCUUGCAUCAACAUAACCGUUUACAAUGAGCUCUUUGUCACCUCCAUAUACGAGAAGCAUAUCCUUAGUCCUUUUCAGGUAUUUCAGGAUGUUCUUGACCGCUGUCCAGUGAUCCACUCGUGGAUUACUUUGGUACCUCCCUGCUAGACUUAUAGCAAGGCACACAUCAGGUCUGGUACAUAGCAUUGCAUACAUGAUAGAUCCUAUGGCUGAUGCAUAGGGAACAUCUUUCAUAUUCUCUCUAUCUUCUGCAGUGGUCGGGCAUUGAGUCUUACUCAACUUCACACCUUGUAACACAGGCAAGAAUCCUUUCUUUGCUUGAUCCAUUUUGAACUUUUUCAAAACUUUGUCAAGGUAUGUGGUUUGUGAAAGUCCAAUUAAGCGUUUUGAUCUAUCUCUAUAGAUCUUAAUGCCUAAUAUGUAAGCAGCUUCACCGAGGUCUUUCAUUGAAAAACUUUUAUUCAAGUAUCCCUUUAUGCUAUCCAGAAAUUCUAUAUCAUUUCCAAUUAGUAAUAUGUCAUCCACAUAUAAUAUCAGAAAUGCUACAGAGCUCCCACUCACUUUCUUGUAAAUACAGGCUUCUCCAAAAGUCUGUAUAAAACCAAAUGCUUUGAUCACACUAUCAAAACGUUUAUUCCAACUCCGAGAGGCUUGCACCAGUCCAUAAAUGGAUCGCUGGAGCUUGCACACUUUGUUAGCUCCCUUUGGAUCGACAAAACCUUCUGCUUGCAUCAUAUACAACUCUUCUUCCAGAAAUCCAUUAAGGAAUGCAGUUUUUACAUCCAUCUGCCAAAUUUCAUAAUCAUAAAAUGCGGCAAUUGCUAACAUGAUUCGGACAGACUUAAGCAUCGCUACGGGUGAGAAGGUCUCAUCGUAGUCAAUCCGUUGAACUUGCCGAAAACCUUUUGCGACAAGUCGAGCUUUGUAGACAGUAAUAUUACCGUCAGUGUCAGUCUUCUUCUUGAAGAUCCAUUUAUUCUCAAUUGCUUGCCGAUCAUCGGGCAAGUCAACCAAAGUCCAUACUUUGUUUCCAUACAUGGAUCCUAUCUCAGAUUUCAUGGCUUCAAGCCACUUUGCGGAAUCUGGGCUCACCAUCGCUUCUUCAUAGUUCAUAGGUUCAUCAUGAUCUAGUAGCAUGACUUCCAGAACAGGAUUACCGUACCACUCUGGUGCGGAUCUCACUCUGGUUGAUCUACGAGGUUCAGUAGUAUCUUGAUCUAAAGUUUCAUGAUCACCAUCAUUAGCUUCCUCUCUAAUUGGUGUAGGUGUCACUGAAACAGUUUUCUGUGAUGCACUACUUUCCAAUAAGGGAGUAGGUACAGUUACCUCGUCAAGUUCUACUUUCCUCCCACUCACUUCUUUCGAGAGAAACUCCUUCUCCGGAAAGGAUCCAUUCUUAGCAACGAAUGUCUUGCCUUCGGAUCUGUGAUAGAAGGUGUACCCAACAGUCUAUUUUGGGUAUCCUAUGAAGACACAUUUCUCCGAUUUGGGUUCGAGCUUAUCAGGUUGAAGCUUUUUCACAUAAGCAUCGCAGCCCCAAACUUUAAGAAACGACAACUUUGGUUUCUUGCCAAACCAUAGUUCAUAAGGUGUCAUCUCAACGGAUUUUGAUGGUGCCCUAUUUAACGUGAAUGCGGCCGUCUCUAAAGCAUAACCCCAAAACGAUAGCGGUAAAUCAGUAAGAGACAUCAUAGAUCGCACCAUAUCUAGUAAAGUACGAUUACGACGUUCGGACACACCAUUACGCUGUGGUGUUCUGGGUGGCGUGAGUUGCGAAACUAUUCCGCAUUGUUUCAAAUGUACACCAAACUCGUAACUCAAAUAUUCUCCUCCACGAUCAGAUCGUAGAAAUUUUAUUUUCUUGUUACGAUGAUUUUCAACUUCACUCUGAAAUUCUUUGAACUUUUCAAAUGUUUCAGACUUGUGUUUCGUUAAGUAGAUAUACCCAUAUCUGCUUAAGUCAUCUGUGAAGGUGAGAAAAUAACGAUAUCCGCCACGAGCCUCAAUAUUCAUCGGACCACAUACAUCUUUAUGUAUGAUUUCCAACAAAUCCGUUGCUCUCUCCAUAGUACCGGAGAACGGUGUUUUAGUCAUCUUUCCCAUGAGGCACGGUUCGCAAGUACCAAGUGAUUCAUAAUCAAGUGGUUCCAAAAGUCCAUCAGUAUGGAGUUUCUUCAUGCGUUUUACAUCGAUAUGACCUAAACGGCAGUGCCACAAAUAAGUUGCACUAUCAUUAUCAACUCUGCAUCUUUUGGCUUCAACAUUAUGAAUAUGUGUGUUACUAAUAUCGAGAUUCAACAAGAAUAGACCACUCUUCAAGGGUGCAUGACCAUAAAAGAUAUUACUCAUAUAAAUAGAACAACCAUUAUUCUCUGAUUUAAAUGAAUAACCGUCUCGCAUCAAACAAGAUCCAGAUAUAAUGUUAAUGCUCAAUGCUGGCACCAAAUAACAAUUACUUAGGUCUAAUACUAAUCCCGAAGGUAGAUGUAGACGCAGCGUGCCGACCGCGAUCACAUCGACUUUGGAACCGUUUCCCACGCGCAUCGUCACCUCGUCCUUUGCUAGUGUUCACUUAAUCCGUAGUCCCUGUUUCGAGUUGCAAAUAUUAGCAACAGAACCAGUAUCAAAUACCCAGGUGCUACUGCGAUCUUUAGUAAGGUACACAUCAAUAACAUGUAUAUCACAUAUACCUUUGUUCACCUUGCCAUCCUUCUUAUCCGCCAAAUACUUGGGGCAGUUCCGCUUCCAGUGACCAGUCUGCUUGCAGUAGAAGCACUCAGUUUCAGGCUUAGGUCCAGACUUGGGUUUCUUCUCUUGAGCAGCAACUUGCUUGCCGUUCUUCUUGAAGUUCCCCUUCUUCUUUCCUUUGCCCUUUUUCUUGAAACUAGUGGUCUUAUUGACCAUCAACACUUGAUGCUCCUUCUUGAUUUCUACCUCCGCAGCUUUCAGCAUUGCGAAGAGAUCGGGAAUAGUCUUGUUCAUCCCUUGCAUAUUAUAGUUCAUCACGAAGCUCUUGUAGCUUGGUGGCAGUGAUUGGAGAAUUCUGUCAAUGACACAAUCAUCUGGAAGAUUAACUCCCAAUUGAAUCAAGUGAUUAUUAUACCCAGACAUUUUGAGUAUAUGCUCACUGACAGAACUGUUCUCCUCCAUCUUGCAGCUGUAGAACUUAUUGGAGACUUCAUAUCUCUCAAUUCGGGCAUUUGCUUGAAAUAUUAACUUCAACUCCUGAAACAUCUCAUAUGCUCCAUGACGUUCAAAACGUCGUUGAAGUCCCGAUUCUAAGCCGUAAAGCAUGGCACACUGAACUAUCGAGUAGUCAUCAUCUUUGCUCUGCCAGACGUUCAUAACAUCUGGUGUUGCUCCAGCAGCAGGCCUGGCACCCAGCGAUGCUUCCAGGACGUAAUUCUUCUGUGCAGCAAUGAGGAUAAUCCUCAACUUACAGACCCAAUCCGUGUAAUUGCUACCAUCAUCUUUCAACUUUGCUUUCUCAAGGAACGCAUUAAAAUUCAACGGAACAACAGCACGGGCCAUCUAUCUACAAUCAAACAUACAUAAGCAAGAUACUAUCAGGUACUAAGUUCAUGAUAAAUUUAAGUUCAAUUAAUCAUAUUACUUAAGAACUCCCACUUAGAUAGACAUCCCUCUAAUCUUCUAAGUGAUCACGUGAUCCAAAUUAACUAAACCAUAACCGAUCAUCACGUGAAAUGGAUUAGUUUUCAAUGGUGAACAUCAUUAUGAUCAUAUCUACUAUAUGAUUCACGCUUGACCUUUCGGUCUCCGUGUUCCGAGGCCAUAUCUGCAUAUGCUAGGCUCUCAAGUUUAACCUGAGUAUUCUGCGUGUGCAAAACUGGCUUGCACCCGUUGUAGAUGGACGUAGAGCUUAUCACACCCGAUCAUCACGUGGUGUCUGGGCAUGACGAACUUUGGCAACGGUGCAUACUCAGGGAGAACACUUCUUGAUAAUUUAGUGAGAGAUCAUCUUAUAAUGCUACCAUCAAUCAAAGCAAGAUAAGAUGCAUAAAGGAUAAACAUCACAUGCAAUCAAUAUAAGUGAUAUGAUAUGGCCAUCAUCAUCUUGUGCCUGUGAUCUUCAUCUCCGAAGCACUGUCAUGAUCACCAUCGUCACCGGCGCGACACCUUGAUCUCCAUCGUAGCAUCGUUGUCGUCUCGCCAAUCUUAUGCUUCCACGACUAUCACUACCGCUUAGUAAUAAAGUAAAGCAUUACAUCGCGAUUUCAUUGCAUACAAUAAAGCGACAACCAUAUGGCUCCUGCCAGUUGCCGAUAACUCGGUUACAAAACAUGAUCAUCUCAUACAAUAAAAUUUAGCAUCAUGUCUUGGCCAUAUCACAUCACAACAUGCCCUGCAAAAACAAGUUAGACGUCCUCUACUUUGUUGUUGCAAGUUUUACGUGGCUGCUACGGGCUUAAGCAAGAACCAAUCUCACCUACGCAUCAAAACCACAACGAUAGUUUGUCAAUUUGACUCCGUUUUAACCUUCGCAAGGACCGGGCGUAGCCACACUUGGUUCAACUAAAGUUGGAGAGACAGUCGCCCGCAAGCCACCUAUGUGCAAAGCACGUCGGGAGAACCGGUCUCGCGUAAGCGUACGCGUAAUGUUGGUCCGGGUCGUCUCGUCCAACAAUGCCGCCGAACCAAAGUAUGACAUGCUGGUAGGCAGUAUGACUUGUAUCGCCCACAACUCACUUGUGUUCUACUCGUGCAUAUAACAUCAAACCAUAAAACCUAGGCUCUGAUACCACUGUUGGGGAACGCAGUAAUUUCAAAAAAAUUCCUACGCACACGCAAGAUCAUGGUGAUGCAUAGCAACGAUAGGGGAGAGUAUGAUCUACGUACCCUUGUAGAUCGCAACGAAAGAGUUGACACAACAUAGAGGAAGUAGCCGUACGUCUUCUUCCCGGUCCGACCGAUCCAAGCACUGUUACUCCGGCACCUCCGAGUUCUUAGCACACGUACAGCUCGAUGACGCUCCCCGGGCUCCGAUCCAGCAAAGCUUCGGGGAUGAGUUCCGUCAGCACAACGGCGUGGUGACGAUGAUGAUGUUCUACCGACGCAGGGCUUCGCCUAAGCACUACAACGAUAUGACCGAGGUGGAAUAUGGUGGCAGGGGGCACCGCACACGGCUAAGGAACGAUCACGAGGAUCAACUUGUGUCUAGAGGUGCCCCCCUGCCCCCGUAUAUAAAGGAUCCAAGGGGGAGGGGGCGGCCGGCCAGGAGGAGGGCGCGGGAGGAGUCCUACUCCUACCGGGAGUAGGACUCCCCCCCCCCAAUCCUAGUUGGAAUAGGAUUCCCCGAGGGGGAAAGAGAGAGAGGGGGCCGGCCACCUCUCCUUGUCCUAAUAGGACUAGGGGAGGGGGGAGGCGUGCGGCCCACCUUGGGCUGCCCCUUUCUCCUUUCCACUAAAGCCCACUAAGGCCCAUAUAGCUCCCGGGGGGUUACGGUAACCUCCCGGUACUCCGGUAAAAUCUCGAUUUCACCCGGAACACUUCCGAUAUCCAAACAUAGGCUUCCAAUAUAUCAAUCUUUAUGUCUCGACCAUUUCGAGACUCCUCGUCAUGUCCGUGAUCACAUCCGGGACUCCGAACUAACUUCGGUACAUCAAAAUGUAUAAACUCAUAGUAACUGUCAUCGUAACGUUAAGCGUGCGGACCCUACGGUUCGAGAACAAUGCAGACAUGACUGAGACACAUCUCCGGUCAAUAACCAAUAGCGGGACCUGGAUGCCCAUAUUGGCUCCUACAUAUUCUACGGAGAUCUUUAUCGGUCAGACCGCAUAACAACAUACGUUGUUCCCUUUGUCAUCGGUAUGUUACUUGCCCGAGAUUCGAUCGUCAGUAUCCAAUACCUAGUUCAAUCUCGUUACCGGCAAGUCUCUUUACUCGUUCCGUAAUACAUCAUCUCACAACUAACAUAUUAGUUGUAAUGCUUGCAAGGCUUAUGUGAUGUGCAUUACCGAGAGGGCCCAGAGAUACCUCUCCGACAAUCGGAGUGACAAAACCUAAUCUCGAAAUACGCCAACCCAACAUGUACCUUUGGAGACACCUGUAGUACUCCUUUAUAAUCACCCAGUUACGUUGUGACGUUUGGUAGCACCCAAAGUGUCCCUCCGGUAAACGGGAGUUGCAUAAUCUCAUAGUUAUAGGAACAUGUAUAAGUCAUGAAGAAAGCAAUAGCAACAUACUAAACGAUCGGGUGCUAAGCUAAUGGAAUGGGUCAUGUCAAUCAGAUCAUUCACUUAAUGAUGUGAUCCCGUUAAUCAAAUAACAACUCAUUGUUCAUGGUUAGGAAACAUAACCAUCUUUGAUUAACGAGCUAGUCAAGUAGAGGCAUACUAGUGACACUUUGUUUGUCUAUGUAUUCACACAUGUAUUAUGUUUCCGGUUAAUACAAUUCUAGCAUGAAUAAUAAACAUUUAUCAUGAUAUAUAAGGAAAUAAAUAAUAACUUUAUUAUUGCCUCUAGGGCAUAUUUCCUUCACCUUCCCCCACUAUAUAUAGGGAGCCUAGGGGGGCGCCGGCCCUAGGUGAUCCAAUCUCCUAGGGGGGCGGCGGCCAAGGGAGGAGUCCCUCCUCCCCAAGGCACCUCGGAGGUGCCUUCCCCUUUUGGGACUCUUCCCUUCCUUAGCCCUAGGCGCAUGGGCCUCUUGGGGCUGGUGCCCUUGGCCCAUGUAGGCCAAGGCGCACACCCCUAUAGCCCAUGUGGCCCCCCAGGAUAGGUGGCCCCACCCGGUGGACCCCCGGGACCCUUCCGGUGGUCCCGGUACAAUACCAGUGACCCCGAAACUUGUCUCGAUGGCCGAAAUAGCACUUCCUAUAUAUAAUUAUUUACCUCCGGACCAUUCCGGAACUCCUCGUGACGUCUGGGAUCUCAUCUGGGACUCCGAACAACAUUCGGGUUACUGCAUAUACAUAUCCCUACAACCCUAGCAUCACCGAACCUUAAGUGUGUAGACCCUACGGGUUCGGGAGACAUGUAGACAUGACCGAGAUCACUCUCCGGUCAAUAACCAAUAGCGGGAUAUGGAUACCCAUGUUGGCUCCCACAUGCUCCUCGAUGAUCUCAUCGGAUGAACCACGAUGUCGAGGAUUCACGUAACCCCGCAUACAAUUCCCUUCGUCAAUCGGUAUGUUACUUGCCCGAGAUCCGAUCGUCGGUAUCCCAAUACCUCGUUCAAUCUCGUUACCGGCAAGUCACUUUACUCGUACCAUAAUGCAUGAUCCCGUGACCAGACACUUGGUCACUUUGAGCUCAUUAUGAUGAUGCAUUACCGAGUGGGCCCAGUGAUACCUCUCCGUCAUACGGAGUGACAAAUCCCAGUCUUGAUCUGUGUUAACCCAACAGACACUUUCGGAGAUACCCGUAGUAUACCUUUAUAGUCACCCAGUUACGUUGUGACGUUUGGUACACCCAAAGCACUCCUACGGUAUCCGGGAGUUACACGAUCUCAUGGUCUAAGGAAAAGAUACUUGACAUUGGAAAACUCUAGCAAACGAACUAUACGAUCUUAUGCUAUGUUUAGGAUUGGGUCUUGUCCAUCACAUCAUUCUCCUAAUGAUGUGAUCUCGUUAUCAAUGACAUCUAAUGUCCAUAGUCAGGAAACCAUGACUAUCUGUUGAUCAACGAGCUAGUCAACUAGAGGCUUACUAGGGACAUGUUGGUGUCUAUUAUUCACACAUGUAUUAUGAUUUCCGGAUAACACAAUUAUAGCAUGAAUAAAGACAAUUAUCAUGAACAAGGAAAUAUAAUAAUAAUGCUUUUAUUAUUGCCUCUAGGGCAUAUUUCCAACACCUAAGACCACCGUAGACGAGGAAGACCGAUGGCGGCGCCUACGGGAGGCCUGAACCCUAAGUCCAUUUUGAAAGGAGGCGGUGACUGAAGCGUUUUUUUUCUGUUUCAUUUUGUGAACAUCUUUCAAAUUUGUGAAGAUUUAUUGAAAUCAUGAACAUGCCCAUACCGAAGUGCUCUUAUGAAUCGUCAUGUUGGAAACUUGUCCUAAUGCGGUGCGGAGGACUUAGCCCAUAUGCUGUUUAAGUGUGUAAAGGUGCAAGCAGUUUGGAAAGCUUUGGGAAUCGUAGCACCUAUUAACUUUGCUUCAUUGACUGAUCGAGCAGGUUCAGCAGUCUUGGAGUUCAUUUUAUGUGAUGAUUCUUAUCGACGACAAUAUUCUGAAUUGGUCGAGCUACCAGAGCUCAUAUCAAUAGUUUGUUGGUUCUUAUGGUGGCAAAGAAGACAAUUCGUGCGAGGGGAAGAAAUAUUGACUCCAGAACAAACAGCGCCAGCGGUGGUUUCCCUAGCGAUUAAUUUUGUGCGCGGAGCACAAGCUAAAUCUAAACCCAAGAUCAACAGGUGGCCAACGUUCCUAGCAGGACAACUUGUCCUUAAUGUCGAUGCUUCAUUCACAGAGGGUGAUUAUGCAGGGUCUUGUGGUGCUGUCAUCCGUGAUCACCGGGGAUCUUUCAUGUCGGCGUCCACGGCGAGAUUAGAACAUAUAGCUGAUGUGUUCACGGCAGAAGCGGCAAGAGAUACGGGAUGCAAUAACUUGGUGGUGCGAUCGGAUAAUAUCAUGGUGGUGGAUGCACUUAAAUUCAAUGAAGGUUACUCUAUGGUGGCAGCGCCGGUUCUUGAUGAAUGUCAUAGUUAUCUAGUAGAUUUCAGGAGGUUUACUAUUGAGCAUUGUAUUAGAGAGUCAAAUUAUGUAGCUCAUGAGCUGGCUAAAUGGGGACGUGCUAAUAAUCCAUCUCGUUGGAUUGAUGACCCGCCUGAUUUCAUUGUGAGUCUGCUAGCAGACGAUAUAUCCGUCCUUUUAUAAAGUAAGUUUUCCCUAAAAAAAAGCAUCGGACAGAACAAUCCUCCAAGGAACCGUCGACCAUACGAAACACAGAACCCCAACCGUGCGCCGUACCCACCUAUAUAUAUAACAAGAGUAAAAUGCAUCAUAAGUCCUAAAACUAUCGGAGGUGUGUCAGUUUAGUCCUAUAACUUUGAAACUGCACUUUUGGGUCCUAAAACUAUCAGAGGUGUGUCAGUUUAGUCCUAUAACUUUGAAACUGCACUUUUGGGUUCUAAAACUAUCAAAGGUGUGUCAGUUUAGUCCUAUAACUUUGAAACAGUAGUUGUGGGUCCCAAAACUAUGUAAGUUUCUUCCUCUUAGGUCCUAAGCUUGCAUGGUUAGCAUUGACCCACCAACGAGUCACUUGGAAAUGCUUGGAUUGUAGCCACGUUGACCUGACCCAAUGGGCCCACCAGGUAAAUAUGCAAAAAAAACUAGAGCGUUGUCUCACCUCGUUCUCACGCGCUCGUCUUCUCCCACGCAUGGAAUGCUCAGAGGCGACGGUACAGAGGCCAUCAGUGGAAUGAUGGUUUGAGCUCCAGCGAGGAGAGUAGACCGGUCAUCUCAGCCUCCCCCAACAGCAGCAGAACGACAUGUCGCACAACGUCCAAUUGCUACCCACCUAUGGCUACUGCUAGGGUUGUGUCACUCUCGACGACCUCUGCGCCAGCUUUGCAGUUUCCGCGCACUCCUCUGUGUCGCCCGACAGCUCACCACCUAUGACCAUGCUCGUGCCCAAACAACAGCCUGCACGGCCAACUCUACGGCAAGGGUGUCGGGGCAACGACGAUAUCAUCAAACAGAGAGAGAGAGAGAGGUGGGAUGGCGUACUCCAUCCCAAUUGGCUCGGGAUCUCCCCGGCGGCCUUGCCGAGGGAGAGGGAUGUCGUCCUUCAUGUCGACUAGCUCGGGGUCUCCCCGACGGUCACGCCAAACCUCUCAGGGAGGCUACCGUGCAGCUCAUGGCCAUGCAGGUUGCAGGACACACUGCAACAUGGAAGCGUAUGUACCACUUUGGGAGAUAUAAACACAUACAAAGGACUCAGUUGAAAAAAUGCACCAUGGAUGGUGGCCAUGCAAGAUUAGGACCUCAGAUGAACAAACAUACAUAGUUUUGAGACCCAAAACUGCAAUUUUGAAGUUAUGGGACUAAAAAUGACACACCUCCAAUAGUUUUAGGACCCAAAAGUGCAGUUUCGAAGUUAUAGGACUAAACUGACAUACUUCCGAUAGUUUUAGGACCCAAAAGUGCAGUUUGAAAGUUAUAGGACUAAACUGACACACCUAUGAUAGUUUUAGGACUUGUGAUGCAUUUUACUCAUAUAACAAACUCCACACAUCUUGCAACCAAAACCCUAUCCCUCACCCUCACCCUCAACCUCAAGCAACCGCGUCGCCGCCCCUCCGAAGCGUUCGUGCCGCAGCUCCACCAUGAAGGUACGCGCUGCUCUUCACCUCCCGAUGCACGCAGAUGUGACCUGUGCCUGUGCGACGCCUGAUUCGUGUGGCCUUUUGCGUUGGUUUCAGUUCAAGAUCAUGAGCGAAGAAGACGAGGAGCUGUGAGUGUUUCUCGUUUCCCGCCCCAUUCGUCCUCUAGACCCGCGUCGCGUAAUCAGUAUAAUCAUCAUACUUGACUGCUUUUGGGAAACGGCGUGUCUGUUUAGUUCGUGGUUCUUUUGAUCGGCCCGUGUUUGUUUGGACUUUUGGCAGUCACUGAAUGCUGUUGUCUUGCGCAUCUUUCUAAUGCUUGGUGUUGGUGUAACUUUUCUUUUACUGUACUUUGUUAGUCUGGAUGGUGCGGGUCUAUUAUUGGUGAAUGCAUGUGUUAAUACGACCCUCUUAUUGAUAUCAUGGUGCGAUUUGAAUCACGUUGAAGCUUCAACUGAACACUUCUGUAAGCGUUGUGGAGGGUGUUCUUAAACAAUAAUACCGUGUCGCAGAGGCUAGCUACUAGCUUGUUUCGAUGUUCAAAUGUAGUUUCAAGUUGCAUUUAGGUCAGUUAAUGUACACUUCCCACUUUGAUCUAUAGAUAAAUGCACUUGUAUGUAUUCCGAGUUUAGAAAGUGCACAGCAAUACCAAGUAUUGUCCGAGGAUUGAGAAUAUGCAACCCUUCCACAUUCUUAACAAAUUGAUUAACGCCAAAUGGUUUCAAGCAUUCUUAACAAAGCAGUUUUUACUUCUGAAACCACCAUAAGCAGACUUUUAGUGGUUAAUAAUCAGUAUAUUGAAGUUUGUUGAUUGACUAAAUAUUCCAGUUGGAAUUUGCUCUUUUCUUUUUUUAAUUCAGAUAUCUAACAGUUUGGUAUGAACUACAGGAGGAGAAUCUCUAAGGAGGUACUUGUUGAUCCUCUUCUGGGUUGGCAACAUAUUUCAUGAUACAUAAACCCUUCAGCUGAUGUUUUGAUAGUUUUGAUCAAAGACAUCUGUCAUUUCCUGUAUUUUCAGGAAUUCAAGGGUUAUAUCUUCACAAUCAUUGGUGGCUGCGAUAAGCUGGGCUUCCCAAUGAAGCAAGGAGUGCAAACUUCUAGGCGCGUCUGCCUUCUGCUUCACAGGGGUAUAACUUUAUUUCCAUGGUACUUCUUACCCACAUCUUUCCUUCUUAAAUUGAACUCUUAAUCUCUUUUGUCUCAAUUCUGUAGAUAUCCCUUGCUUCCGUGGGUAUGGCAGGCGUACAAAGACUUGUCUCGGACGCAAGAAAGAUAGAAGGAUUUGCGCUUUUGGCAAGUAACAGGAGGAUGAAUAGGAGCUUAGAAGAGGGAGUGGUAAUGAGAUUAGACGUCGGAUAUGUUGUUUAGUCCCACUCCUUAGUUUGUUAUCUUAUGGGAAUUAUGUGUUGGAGAAGUUUGUGGGAAUUUAUUAGGAUUAAUCAAGAUAUAUGACAUAAGUUGUGAUAAAUCUUUAAGAGAAUUCUCUCCUAAUUCCCACCGACUGCAUGUUUUAACAGUGGAAGUUGGGAUCUCAAACUACUCCUCGUCAAUUCCCAAACCCAGUAACUUUGUACCCUUUCAAUUCUCACUUAACCAAAGAGGGUGUAAAGUAAAGGCAGUCUAAAGAUGGUAUUUGUUACUAGGGGUUGAGUCAUGGCAGUGCACAACUCACUCUGGUACCCAAUUCCUGCCCAAAAUUGGCCUCCAUGGGUCUUCCUGAGAACUAGGAAGGGUAGGGAAGGCUGGUAGAUAAAUGAAGGUAGUCCACAUUGCAAAAUUUGGCUCGUGUCAAAAUAGUGGUCAAAUGGCAAAUGUUGGACCAAUGGAUCGUAUGAUGAUCUUCUAGAUCAUGGCAUCUAUGGGUAGGUGUGGACUAAAGACAAGAUGCCAAAGUCUCAUCUAGACGGAGGAGCGGAAAUUAGGUUUUCAUCCUUUCUAAGAUAUUGGGCAUAAAAAAAUAAAUUUACCACGGAAAUAUUGGAACUAUGGAGUCCCAUUUUGUGGGUAUUGGGUUUGUAUGGUCACACGAAGCUCUAUAGGGGUGUUCUUGGAAUUUUCAAGUGGUAGAAAAAUGGGUUCCUUUGUAAUGGUGGAAUACACAAGAGGCUCGUAAUAGGGAGGUAAUUAUUUUCCCAUGGGCUAUGACUUUGGCUUUAUACUAUGUGUAGUGGCAUGGUUUGCACAAGGGAUCCACAUUGGUUUUACCAUGCCAUGUGACAUCGAGUUUGAGAUGGCCAAAGCAAACACAAGAGAAAACAAAAGGAAGAAUCACCAAAAAAGUAAAUAAAAAACAAGAAAUGAAAAUCGGUAUGGUACACAAAUGGGGAAGGAUGUCCCAUCGAGGGACGUAUAAGAUGAUCUAGCCAAUGUCUCAAGCAGCGUCGAAUCAUAGAGACGUGCUCUCUAGAUCUGGAGCUUUUUUAGGAGGCCUCACGCGAGGAUACGAUAGAUCUGGACCUCCCAGACAUCAAUUCCAACAAAUGGGUGAUAUAAUGAAGGGAUGAUUCGUGAGGUGAAUGAAACCUACAGGAUGAUAGUUUUGGUGUAAAUGUGUGUGGGAGAUUUAGCCAUCUCCCUAGUGCCAAGUUGAGGAUUGACCUGGAGGGUGCCAUACUACUAAAAGGGCUUCUCUCUCCGGGCAUCUGCUCAGCGAGGGGCAGUCCCAAGUGGCCAUAUGACAUGCAAGAUUGCUUCUCCCUUUUGUUGUCUUUACUCCUGAGGAAAGGGUAUGGUGUUGUCCUAUAGCAUAGGGCCUAGCAAAAAGCCUCACCUGAUGCUUACGCGUCUGCCCUAAUAAUAACUAGGAGUACAUCAUGUUCCAACUGAAAAUUAAAAUAUAUGCACACUUCAUUGGGCCAAGCAGUUGAGCCUCUUUAUGUUUUUCCUUUUCAGAAAUCUUGAGCUUAUUUAUGUUUAAGGACAUGUUGAGAAUAUUAUUAUUAUUAUUAUUAUUAUUAUUAUUAUUAUCAUCAUCAUUAAUAAUAUUAUUAUUAUUAUAUAAAGAAGCUCAACAUUCUAGAGUAUCAUGUUUCUCCAAUGUUGCACAAGGUUGGAUUAUGGCAAGUACUCUUGCCUUUUUAGUUUUUUUUGUUGAUUUCUUCAAUUGCAUAUAAGACUUAACCGUAUCUAAGAAUGAAACUCAACCGCAUGAGAAGAUGGACACUUCGGUACAUGUGAGUUACCUUUGUAUUCUCUUCCCCGCGUGUCGCGCCACCGCCACCGCCUAGGAGUGGUGGAUCUACCAUGAAUAGGUUGACAUGAGCCUUUCACCACGACAAGGCUAUCAACCCCAUAGGAAAACCACGGUCAAACGACGGGAUAUGAUGGAUUCCGGCGGAAAUUGCCGGAGGAAGGUAAACCCUAGAAAAACCGCAACGGCCUAAUUUAAUUGUGUCAAUGCAGACAGGCAUAAGCCCAUUUUAUAGCUGAUUCCUAUUUUACGCAUAGGUUGCUAGAAAGCGACCUAGCGCGCACCCUCUCAUGAUCCUCUGUACGGGUCAGCCCAUGGUGCUUUUUCACCGGUUCUAGAACCUUCCCUGGAUCUUUUUUUCUUCUGGCUUUUUCUUUCUUUUAUCUUUUUUGGAUUUUCCUUUUUGUUUUUAUUUUGUUAUUUUGUUAACUUUGUUUUUGUUUUUUGUUUUCAUGUUUUUUGUUUUUACAAGAAAACUUUAGAUCUAUUCAUCUUCAAUCAUGGUAGUACAACAAAUAUCAAAAAUAAUUAAAAAGAAGUAGAUCCAAAUCCGUAGGCCACCUAGCAACAAAUAUCGAAGGCGCGCCGCCGUCAUCAACCCUCCCUCGCCGGGGCCGGGCAAAAUUUGUCGUAGUAGACAAUCGAGAAGUCGUCGUGCUAAGACCCUAUAGGACUAGUGCACCAGAACAACAACCACCGUGAUGAAGAGUUGCGUAAAUCAGAAGGAUCCAACAUGAAAAACACGAAUCCGAGCGGAUCCACCAAAGACAGAUCCUCGAGACACACCUCCACACGCACAUCGAUGAUGCCAUAUGCACCACCGGAACAGGGGCUAGGUAUGGAUAACCUUAGUCCAUCUUGAGAGAGUCGUUGUCGUCUCGCCUGGCUGAGCAGGACAUAAAUCCUAACAAAACUCAAAUAAACAUCUAAUAACAGAGCCCUCCUGCCGGCAAGGGUCACGAUCCAUCGUGCCCCAAUGGCCCUAAUGUUGGGAAACGUUGCAGAAAACAAAAAAUUUCCUACGGUUUCACCAAGAUCCAUCUAGGAGUUCAUCUAGCAACGAGUGAUUGGAUUGCAUCUACAUACCUUUGUAGAUCACGCGCAGAAGCGUUCAAAGAACGGGGAUGAGGAAGUCAUACUCGAUGUGAUCCAAAUCACCGGAGAUCCUAGCGCCGAACGGACGGCACCUCCGCGUUCAACACACGUACGGUCAGCGUGACGUCUCCUCCUUCUUGAUCCAGCAAGGGGGGGAGAGGUUGAGGAAGAUGGCUCCAGCAGCAGCACGACGGCGUGGUGGUGAUGGAGCUGCAGUACUCCGGCAGGGCUUCGCGAAGCUCUAUGGAGGAGGAGGAGGUGUUGGAGAGGGAGAGGGAGGCACCAAAGGCGUGGAUUGAGAGGCCCUCCUUCCCCCAAUAUAUAUAGGGAGCCUAGGGGGCACCGGCCCUAGGAGAUCCAAUCUCCUAGGGGGGCGGCGGCCAAGGGAGGAGUCCCUCCUCCCCAAGGCACCUCGGAGGUGCCUUCCCCUUUUGGGACUCUUCCCUUCCUUAGCCCUAGGCGCAUGGGCCUCUUGGGUCUGGUGCCCUUGGCCCAUGCAGGCCAAGGCGCACACCCCUAUAGCCCAUGUGCCCCCCCGGGAUAGGUGGCCCCACCCGGUGGACCCCCGGGACCCUUCCGGUGGUCCCGGUACAAUACCGGUGACCCCGAAACUUGUCCCGAUGGCCGAAAUAGCACUUCCUAUAUAUAAUUCUUUACCUACGGACCAUUCCGGAACUCCUCGUGACGUCCGGGAUCUCAUCCAGGACUCCGAACAACAUUCGGGUUACUGCAUAUACAUAUCCCUACAACCCUAGCGUCACCGAACCUUAAGUGUGUAGACCCUACGGGUUCGGGAGACAUGUAGACAUGACCGAGAUCGCUCUCCGGUCAAUAACCAACAGCGGGAUCUGGAUACCCAUGUUGGCUCCCACAUGCUCCUCGAUGAUCUCAUCGGAUGAACCACGAUGUCGAGGAUUCACGUAACCCCGCAUACAAUUCCCUUCGUCAAUCGGUAUGUUACUUGCCCGAGAUCCGAUCGUCGGUAUCCCAAUACCUCGUUCAAUCUCGUUACCGGCAAGUCACUUUACUCGUACCAUAAUGCAUGAUCCCGUGACCAGACACUUGGUCACUUUGAGCUCAUUAUGAUGAUGCAUUACCGAGUGGGCCCAGUGAUACCUCUCCGUCAUACGGAGUGACAAAUCCCAGUCUUGAUCCGUGUUAACCCAACAGACACUUUCGGAGAUACCCGUAGUAUACCUUUAUAGUCACCCAGUUACGUUGUGACGUUUGGUACACCCAAAGCACUCCUACGGUAUCCGGGAGUUACACGAUCUCAUGGUCUAAGGAAAAGAUACUUGACAUUGGACAACUCUAGCAAACGAACUAUACGAUCUUAUGCUAUGUUUAGGAUUGGGUCUUGUCCAUCACAUCAUUCUCCUAAUGAUGUGAUCUCGUUAUCAAUGACAUCUAAUGUCCAUAGUCAGGAAACCAUGACUAUCUGUUGAUCAACGAGCUAGUCAACUAGAGGCUUACUAGGGACAUGUUGGUGUCUAUUAUUCACACAUGUAUUAUGAUUUCCGGAUAACACAAUUAUAGCAUGAAUAAAGACAAUUAUCAUGAACAAGGAAAUAUAAUAAUAAUGCUUUUAUUAUUGCCUCUAGGGCAUAUUUCCAACACCUAAGACCAUCGUAGACGAGGAAGACCGAUGGCGGCGCCUACGGGAGGCCUGAACCCUAAGUCCAUUUUGAAAGGAGGCGGUGACUGAAGCGUUUUUUUUCUUUUUCAUUUUGUGAACAUCUUUCAAAUUUGUGAAGAUUUAUUGAAAUCAUGAACAAUUUUUUGAAAUCCUUAUCAUUUCUUCAAUUUGCAAACAUUUUCUGAAAUCAUGAACAUUUUACGAAUUCAUCAUUGAACAAUUUUUUAAUUCACGGACAUUUUUUGCUGUCAAGAACAUUUUUCGCAUUUGCAAAAAAAAUUAUAAAUUCACAAACAUUCUUCACAAAUUCUCAAACAUUUUUUGGAUUAGAAAACAUUUUUUAAAACUCAAUGAAUAGUUUUAGAAUCAGCAAAAAAAAUUCAAUCGAUGAACAUUUUUUUAAUUUGGAAUUUUUGUUUUGUCAAACGCUUUUUGAAUCAGCGAACAUUUCUUGAAUCAAUAUAAUUUUAAAAAUUUGGGAACAAAUUUAUAAGUAUUUUUAGAAAAAUCAUGAACAUUUUUUGUGGUUGUUAACAUUUUUUGAAUUUGUGACUAUUUUUCAAAUUCAUGAACACUUUAUGUAAUUAAGAACUUCUUUUGAAAUCCCGGCCAUUUUUUUAUUGAUGUUAAGAUUCAAUCAUAGUUCUUGUAACCUUUCAAGAAAAUUGAUGAAAGUGCUUGUUGCAUUAUGACCUUUCAAGAAACCAAAAGGGAUAACUUUGAUCUUGCCUACAUAAAAAACUUUUGCCCCAAGAGAUUCAACCAGUACUGUUUUUCCCCAUCCAAUGGUAAUUCAGGUGGUUUAAUUACUAUCAGGAAUGGCAACAUGUUAAAGGGUGAAGUUAUAUCUAGCAACUACUUCCAUAUUACUAUCAAACUUACUUCUAACCUGGAUAAUAGUUGUUGGUAUAUCACUAAUGUGUAUGGUCCCAACUCUGUGGAUGGCAAACUGGAAUUUGUGUCUUGGCUGCAGAAUCUUAACAUCAAUCAGAGCAAGUUAUGGAUAGGGGAUUUCAACUUCAUUAGAGGACCUGACAACUGAAACAAGCCAGGAGGUGAUCCAAACAGCAUGAUGCUCUUUAAUAAUAUCAUCAUAAAUCUUUAUCUAGUAGGAAUACCAUUGAAAGUAAGAUCAUUCACAUGGAGUAACAAACAGGACAAUCCACUAUUGAAAAAAAUGGAUUGGGUUUUCACAAGCUCCCAUUGGACUACUGUACAUCCUUCAACCAUGGCUAUUCUAUUGGCUAAGAUCUCAUCUGACCAUGUUCCCAUUAAAAUUAUGAUUGGCAGUGCUAUCCCCAAAAGCAACAUUUUCAGAUUUGAGGAGUUCUGGACUGAAUUUAAUGGUUUCAUUGAUGUAGUUGAGAACCAUUGGUAUAAUUCUAUACACUUCUCUGAUUCAGCCAAGCAUCUAAAUGCCAAAUUUAAAGCUCUUAGAAGAGGCCUAAAAAAUGGAGCAAGAAAUUCUCACAGCUUAGUAAAACUAUUGAAAACUGUUGCUUUUAUGUCGAGCUCAUUGAUGGAUUGGAAGAUCAAAGACUACUCACCAGAAGGGAAGCAAACUUUAGGAAAAUCCUCAUCAACCACACCAAUAAACUUCUAGAGGCUAAAAGGUUAUACUAGAGAAUUAGAGCUAAUAUCAGAUGGGCAAAACUUGGUGAUGAAAAUACCAAGUUCUUCCAUGCUGUUGCAUCUCAGGUUUUUAGGCACAAUUAUAUCACUUUCCUGAUAUUCUCUGAUGGCCAAUGCAGUUAUGAUCAUGACCAAAAGGCUGCCAUAAUAUGGGCAUCCUUUAAGGACAAAAUUGGCACUCAAGCUGACAAUAUUAGGGAUUUUCAUUUAUCUCAUUUGAGAAUGGAUAAUAUCACAUCAGAUCUUGAUAGACCCUUUUCAACUGAGGAAAUUUAUGAGGUUAUUAAGCACAUGCCCAAUGACAAGUCUCCUGGUCCUGAUGGUUUUAAUGGAAUAUUUAUGAAAAAAUGCUGGGACAUCAUCAAGAAUAGUUUCUAUAAAUUCAUCAAUGAUUUUCAUCAAGAAGCUGUCUCUUUGCUGCCUAUCAAUACUGCUUACAUUGCACUUAUUCCUAAAAAGGACAAUCUUGAAACUCUCAAUGACUUUAGGCCCAUCUCCCUGGUGAGCAUGCCUAUCAAAAUUGUCACAAAAUUACUGGCAAACAGAGCUUAGCCAGUCAUAUUAGCAAGGGUCAGCAAAAACCAGUAUGGAUUCAUUAAAACCAGGAACAUUCAGGAUUGUCUAGCUUGGAGUUUGUGAAAGUUCCUGGUUAGGAUCAUCAUCUUCAAGAUUGACUUUGUGAAAGCUUUUGACUAAGUAAACUACAAUGCUAUCAUUUUCAUGAUGAGGCAUUUUGGAUUUAGUGACAAAUGGAUCAGGUGGGUCAACAUGAUAUUAUCCACUGCUUCCACUUAUGUUAUUCUUAAUGGUGUUCCUAGGAAAAACAUCCAUUGCAAAUGUGGUGUUGGGCAAGGAGAUCCAUUUUCCCCACUGUUAUAUGUGCUGGUUGGUGAAUUGUUGCAAAUAUUAGUUAAUGAAGCUUGAAGAAAUGGCACUGUUAAUUUACCUAUUGAUACCAACAAUACUGAAAGUUACCCCAUCAUCCAGUAUGCUGAUGAUACUCUUAUCAUUCUGCCUGCUCAGGAGGAGCAAAUUGGUAAUUUUACUGAGAUCCUAAACAACUUCUAUAGGUUUACUGGGCUCAUUGUUAAUUAUAGCAAAUCAUCCCUUGUGCCUAUCAACAUCUCUGAUGACAGAUCUCAAGAAUUAGCUGACAUUCUUAGAUGUAAGAAAGAAUUCAUGCCUUUCACUUACCUAGGUUUGCCUAUGGGUACUACAAGACCAAAAGUUGUUGAUCUCAUGCCAAUGGUAUCCAAGUUGGACCACAGAUUAUCUGGCAUUGCAAACUUGAUGACUUACUCAGGUAGACUCACACAUCUUAAAGCCAUUGUCUCUGCUUUGCCCAUAUUUGCAAUGUGUUGUAUCAGAGUGCCUUUCACUAUCCUGGAUCAUUUUGAGAAAUCUGGGAGAAGCUUCCUAUGGUAUGGUAAGGGGAUCAAUAAACAUGGGAAUUGUUUAGUUAAAUGGGGAAAAAUAUGCCUACCCAAAAAAGCAUGUGGUUUGGGUAUUCUUGAUCUUAGAAUGCAAAACAGGGCUCUGCUUACCAAGUACCUAUACAAAUUCUUCAACAAAAAUGACAUUCCCUUGGUCAAAUUGAUAUGGAACAAUUACUAUCAUAAUGGGGAGCUACCAAAAUUCCCCACAAAUGUGGGAUCCUUUUGGUGGAGGGACUGCUGCUCUAUUCUCCAAGAUUUUAAAAACAUGACAAAUUGCUCUGCAGGUAUUGGUAACACUGUUAGCCUAUGGUAUGAUAAUUGGUGCUCUCAACCAAUAAUGAGCAUGAUGGCUCAGCUUUUCUCAUACACAAAAAAUGAACACAUUACUCUGGAGGCUGCCACCAACCUGGAUGACACUAAUUUUUAUGCAUGUUUCAUUUACCUAUCCAGUAUUGCUGUUCAACGGAGUACUCAGCUUAGCUAUAGAACCAUGAUUAAUGAUAGAGGGAACCAAACAGUGAUGGACUCAUGGAAAUUUCAUUGGGGUGGCUCCAACUAUUCUAACAAAAGGAUAUAUCUAGAAUAUAUUGGGAACUCUGUUGAUGCCCCCAAACCAUUUCAGUAGAUAUGGAAAUCAUGUACUCUAGCUAAGCAAAAAAAAUUCUUCUGGCUGCUAUUACAGGACAAAUUAAAUACUAGAGACUUUCUUACAAGGAAAAAUUUCCAUAUUGAAUCUGCCAGAUGUGUGCUUUGUGAUGAUGAACCUAAGGAAUACCUUUAUCAUCCGUUCUUUAGUUGUGAUUUCAGCCAGAACUUCUGGAUGGCCAUUGGUUUUCAAUGGAAUACUGACUAUGAGCUUUUGGAUUUACUCAUGGAGGGCAAGAAACACAACCAUGUUGUAUGCUACAAGGAGUGCCUCAUUAUAGGAUGUUGGAGUAUUUGGAAGCAUAUGAACAACAUCAUCUUUGAUCAAAAACCCAAGAAUAUGCAGUACUGCAUCAGUACAUUCAAGGAGCACUUUGAGAUGAUUAUCAAAAAAGCCAAACCUAGUUUGAAGGAAGGGAUGCAGAGCUGGCUAAACUACUUGUAGAUUCCAUUCAUUUGUCUUGUUAAAUCUUGUAUAGUGAUGUAAAUUGUUCUAUCAUAUUAAUGAAAAUCAGAGUUACAGUGGGGGCCUUCCCCACUGUGUUUGCUAAAAAAAUAAAGCAUUGAAAGAAGGAAAACGAAAAAAAACAGGGACGCCAUGCGCCCACAUAUGGCUGGCCGAAAUCAUGCACAGAGGAGGGAGGGGGUGCGCGUUCGCGGAGCAUCCAGAUUCGCAAUACAAUAAUUAUGGCUAUUCUUUGGAGUCUAUGGAAAAGAAGGGAUGCAAAAAUCUUCAAAAAUGAGGUGGAAUCUUUAGGAUUCGUCUUACGUCGUGCAACUCAAGUCAUUUUUCUUUUGGUCUACUCGAUGUUUUUCUUUUUUUUCCUUGUCUGUCCGCCUUCUGUGUAUAUAUUCUCUGUUGAACCUCAAAUUCAAUAAAAUGUGUUCAGGCUGGCUUUUUGUGUGUGUGUGUGUUCUUUUUUGUUUUGAGAAAGUUUGUGUGUGUGUGUUCAAAGCUGGCUUUGCCCGCCUCAAAAGGUAGGAGCUCCAACUUUUACAAGUUAGGCCUAUUGUCUUAUCGUACCUCCUCGGAGCCCAUAACGGCCCAGAUCAGCCCGUGCGCCCGCGGCUGGACCAUAACGGCCCACUCUACUUCUCCGCGACGCCCCACCUAUAAAAUAGACUCCACACAUCUUCCGACCAAAACCCUACCCCUCGAACAACCGCGCCGCCGCCGCCGCCGCCGCCGCUCCCCAGCGUUCGGGUCGCUCGCCGCCGGCCAGCUCGCGCCGCAACUCCGCCAUGAAGGUACGCGCUGCCCUUCACCUCCCGAUGCGCUCUGAUGUGAUCUGUUCCUGUGCGACGCCUGAUUCGUGUGGUUUUGGCCUUGGUUUCAGUUGAACAUCGCGAACCCCACCACGGGGUGCCAGAAGAAGGUCNNNNNNNNNNNNNNNNNNNNNNNNNNNNNNNNNNNNNNNNNNNNNNNNNNNNNNNNNNNNNNNNNNNNNNNNNNNNNNNNNNNNNNNNNNNNNNNNNNNNNNNNNNNNNNNNNNNNNNNNNNNNNNNNNNNNNNNNNNNNNNNNNNNNNNNNNNNNNNNNNNNNNNNNNNNNNNNNNNNNNNNNNNNNNNNNNNNNNNNNNNNNNNNNNNNNNNNNNNNNNNNNNNNNNNNNNNNNNNNNNNNNNNNNNNNNNNNNNNNNNNNNNNNNNNNNNNNNNNNNNNNNNNNNNNNNNNNNNNNNNNNNNNNNNNNNNNNNNNNNNNNNNNNNNNNNNNNNNNNNNNNNNNNNNNNNNNNNNNCGCCAUGCUUGAUUGCUUUUGGGAAAUCGCGCUUCUGUGUAGUGUAUCUGUUUGCAGUUUGGUGGACUCCUGAAUGCUUGCUGUAGUCUUUGCAUCUUGUCCUUUUACUUUGUUAGAAAUUGGAUGGUGCGUUAAUAGGACGAUCUUCUAAAUGUUAUGGUGCGACUAGAAUCGUGUUAAUCGAUUGCUGUUGGAGUGGACUAGAAUUGAAGCUCUUUGAGCGUUGUUAUGAAAUAACAGUAAUAUCACGUAGGUUACUACUUGGUGUCGAUGUUCAAAUAUAGUUUCAAGUUGCAUUUUCCUACUUUGAGCGGCAGAUAAAUGCACAUUUAGACUGCGUACUCUGGACUUGUAAAUAUGUAUUCCGAGUUAGCAAGCGCACAACAAUAGUAGAUAUUGUUGGAGGGCUAAGCGCACCACAACCCUCCCACAUUCUUAACAAAUAGAUUAACAAACAGUGGUUUCCAAAAAAACUUGUGAUGCUCAAUACUGAUUAGUUUUCAGCAAAAUAUAGGAUACCAUGGACCCUGUAAUGCCAUGGACAAGGUUGAACUGUUUUUCAACCGCUUCAAAAAUAUGACGUGAUGCGGCUAGCUGUUUUGGUGGAAAAAUGUUGUAACAGAACAAAGGUAGUUUACCUGUGAAACCACCAUAAGCACGCUGUAGUGGUUAAUGAUAAGUAUAUUCGAGUUUGUUGGCUGACAAAAAUUUCCAGUUAGAAUUUACUCUUUCCAUUUUUUGUUUGGAUAUUUAACAUUUUGUUAUGAACUAUAGGCGGAACCUUUAUGACAAGAGGAUCUCCCAGGAGGUAGUUGGUGAUCUUCUGGGUGAGGUAAUCUACUGGCAACGUAUUUCAUGGCUACUUAUUUCAUGAUACAUAACCCUUGACCUGAUGUUUUGAUAGUUUUGAUCAAAGAUAUCUGUCAUUUCCUGUAUUUUCAGGAAUUCAAGGGUUAUAUCUUCAAGAUCAUGGGUGGAUGUGAUAAGCAGGGCUUCCCGAUGAAGCAAGGAGUGCUAACUUCUGGGCGUGUCCGCCUUCUGCUUCACAGGGGUAUAACUUUACUUCCAUUGUACAUCUUACUUAUAUUUUCCCUCUUGGACUGAAAUCUUACCUGCAUCUCUUUUGUGUCAAUUCUGCAGGCACGCCUUGCUUCCGUGGUUUUGGCAGGCGUAAUGGUGAGCGCAGGAGGAAAUCCGUCCGUGGUUGCAUUGUCAGCCAAGACCUAUCUGUUAUCAACUUGGUGAUUGUCAAGAAGGGUGAGAAUGAUCUGCCAGGCCUUACUGACACUGAGAAGCCCAGGAUGAGGGGACCCAAGAGGGCCUCCAAGAUCAAGAAGCUCUUCAACCUUGGCAAGGAUGAUGAUGUCCGCAGCUAUGUCAACACAUACCGCAGGACCUUCCUUAACAAGAAGGGUGAGUUCUCAACCGUGCCCUAUUCUUGUUCCAUCUUGGAUCCUGCUUGCCCACUUUCACUUUUCUUUAGGAAAAAUAUUCUUUCCUUGUAAUAUCAUAGUGCUUGUCUGAGCAGUUUUGUGUCUCUCAUUUACUUCUUUCUUACCUAGAUCAUAUUGUUCCUUAUUUCCAGGCAAGAAGGUGAGCAAGGCUCCCAAGAUCCAGCGCCUUGUGACUCCCUUGACACUCCAGAGGAAGCGCGCCAGAAUAGCAGACAAGAAGAAGAGGAUCGCAAAGAAGAAGUCAGAGGCUGCAGAGUACCAGAAGCUGCUUGCACAGAGGCUCAAGGAGCAGAGAGACCGCCGCAGCGAGAGCAUGGCCAAGAGGAGGUCGAAGCUGUCUGCUGCCACCAAGGCUCCUGCUGCCUCUGCCUAAGAUGUUUACAGUCUUCCGUUAUUAGCUGUAAUAGUGGAAGAAUUUCUCGCACUUUGUUGGAUGAUAUGAAUCUAGCUGCUACUUUCAGCGUUGUUGAGUUGUAAUUGAUGCUGUUUUGCGUGAACAUGGGUACCUUAAUCGUCAGGAGUUUGUUACUGAAUGAACAAAAUUGCAUGAACUUGGAUAAUUGAUGCAGUUUUGUGUGAACAUGGAAUCUUAUCAAGAGGUACUUGUUACUCAAGUUCUAUGGUGGUUCAGGUUGAGGUAUCCCCUCUUAUCAACCACUUUAACAUUUUUCAGUACUUUAAUUUGCUCCAUUUGAAUUCUGAAUUUACUAUUGAUGUUUUCAUACAUCUUGACUGCUAUUUGUGCUAGAUGAUUUUCCACCACAUCAUAAGAUUCUUAAUAUAAUAUAGGCGUGUAUUAGUUGGAUCUUUGAUAGUCUUUUUUGUUUGAAAUGGAAUUGGAACCGACUGUUCUAUAGGUUCACUACCUUGAGUCAAUCAAUCUUAUGUGUAAGAAUCAAAAGUUUAACGUCGACGGAGCUCCGACAGAUUUAUGCUGUCUUCUUGCGGUGGUGCGGUAGCGGUGGUGCGGUAGCGUUUAACGUCGAUGACAGGGGCACAUGCACAAAGACUUACUAGCGGCGACAACUGCUCGUUCUGAUUGCAGUAGUGGUCUUUUGGUGGUCUUGAAAUCUUGAUUUAGUUUAUGUUAUGUUUGACAUGCUUUUAGUUUUUUGGUGAAUUUUUAUAAUAGAUCUGAUCCUUCCUAGAAAAAAAUUUGCCAAAGUUUUGGUAGGAUCAUGCCAACAAUCCGAAGCUCGGGAGAUUUUCUUUAUUUUGCAUUUGUUGUGUUGCGAUUCCUUUCCUAUGUUGCAAGUUUCACUUCUGACUUGCAUGUUUAGUCUGCUCUAAGGCAAUCAAGAGAUGCAAAAGCUAAAACUUGUCAACUAAAAGCUGAUUUUUUUCUUCAAAAUGUCCAUUCACCUCCUUAUCCUCCUACUCUAGAUCAUAUAUUUGAGUACUUGACCCUACACCGUCCUUAACUGAGUCAUCUUCCCCUUCUCAUGACAGUUGAACUAUGCAGUCCUGCAGAAUUUUCCUUAGUGGCGGUCAAUUCUUUAUGCCCUUGUCUUGCUAUAAGCUACUCCCUCCGUCUCACAAUAUAAGACAUUCUAUGCUAGCUUGCAAAAACGCCUUAUAUUGUGGGACAAAGGGAGUACCUCAGUUUCUUCCUUUCUUCUUUCGCAUUUCUUUGUCGGAAACCACGAUGUUGGUUAAAUAUAUGUUUUGACUCAAGAUCAAAGGCAAGUAAUCAUCCAUGAAGAAAUUGAAAACGAGAUGUGAUUAACACUUUAGACCAGCUUAUGUUCUUCAUGAUAGUAUGUUUACAAAAACGAGAAAGCUAACCACCUGUCGACUGGACAUUAGGGACAGGCACGAACGAGUCCCGCGUUGUCAGAUAGGAAAUGAGCGGCUCAUGAUCCACCUUAUCCCUUCCUCCUUUCUCUCCCCCGACGGCGUCCAAUCUCCUUCCUCCUGCGCCAGGUGGCCAAGGAGAGCUACCAGGCGCGAGACCAAGUGUAGCAGCAGCUCCUCGUGGCGGCCAAGCAGGCGGCGGCGCUAGCAGCGACGACACUAGCGCUGGGUACGUCGAGCGUCACCGACUUGGACUGUAGCCUCCUGUCGUCCCCGAUGGACCCCUUCUUCGACCCUAUCACCUCCUUCGACCGGGCUGCUGCGUCGGCCGGUCGGCGGCAAGCUCAGCCGCGCCAGCCCGCCCCCGCCGGCCAAGCAGCAGCUGCAGCAGCAGUGCGGCACCGACGCGAUUCUCGACAUGCUCGCCGCGAAGAUGCCGCUGCCGUCGAGGGACCGGCUGCUGCACUCUGUGCACAUGCUUCCGCUGCUGCUGCUGUAGUCUCUGUUGUAGUACAUGUAUGCUGAGAAUUAUGGAGCAGAGAUGAUGUCUUCACGCCUUGGUAGCCGAUACAAGGUCUCAACCACAUUUUGGCUGCUUAACCGAAGUUGCAGGGCUGAAUUUGGUGGCUUACAUGGGCAGCCCACGGCUCUACUCUGUUAGCUUCGGUUCAGUAACUUCAGUUUUGUAAGAACUUGCCAAGCCAUUUUUACAUGUAUUUUCUUCCCAAAGAAUAUCACAGAAUUGAAUGAAUGAUCUCCUUCAUGGUGUAUCUCAAUCUAUAAUUUUUUAUAGUAUGAUUAUUCUAUGGAAUGAAUGAUCAUCUCCUCCAUGUAGAAAUGCUACUCUGACUGACUCUUAACAUCCUUCUUGCAUGAUAAUUAAGGAUUGCUGCCACGUGUCACCGCUCCCCCGCGCUCAUGCGGCUAGACACUCCUUGCAUUGUCAUUCCCUUGCAUUGAUCAAUCAAUGGUCUAAACGAAGCAACAACAAAAAUAGAGUCCGAUAACUCAUGUACCUCGGUCCUGAUAACUCACACAUCACAAACCUGAUAACUUAUGUACCCCACGCGGGGAGUGGGGGGUAGGGGGUUGAUGAAGUAUCCGCCGGUAACGGACCUGAUAACUUAUGUACGCCGGUCUUGGUACUUUUGUGAAUAGCAUGAUAACUCACACAUCAUAGACCUGAUAACUUAUGUACACGACCCUGAUAACUNNNNNNNNNNNNNNNNNNNNNNNNNNNNNNNNNNNNNNNNNNNNNNNNNNNNNNNNNNNNNNNNNNNNNNNNNNNNNNNNNNNNNNNNNNNNNNNNNNNNNNNNNNNNNNNNNNNNNNNNNNNNNNNNNNNNNNNNNNNNNNNNNNNNNNNNNNNNNNNNNNNNNNNNNNNNNNNNNNNNNNNNNNNNNNNNNNNNNNNNNNNNNNNNNNNNNNNNNNNNNNNNNNNNNNNNNNUGAAUAGCAUGUAACUCACACAUCGCAAACCUGAUGACUUAGCUACAAACACCGCGGUAAAUUUAGACGCAAGUAAAAAGUUGUUGAAACAUACUCUGGUUACUUCUAUGCAAAUAGCACGGUAAUAUAUGCAUCGUACACCUGAUAAAUUAGGUACAAAAACCAUGGUAACUUUAACCCCUGGGAAAGAAGUGGUUGAAAACACACCUCUGAUCACUUCUGCAUAAAUAACAUGUUAAUUUACAUAUAACAUAACUGAUAACUUUACGGUAACUUUUGAACCAAAAAGUCAUCAAAACAGGCCAACAUGAGAUCUUGUUUCGAAGUUCUCGUCGUGACGGAUUUUUUAUGUGAAAACGAUUUUUUCAACGACGGUUUGAGCUAUAAAAUAAUUUACAGUUUCAAAAUAGCGAAAAUCUACAAUGUCAUCUGCUUUCCUGUGCUCUAGUGCAUUUGCAUGUGGGGAGAACGUUGGAGGAGACAUUUUUUUGUCCGGGUAAUUUCUAUAUAAACAUGAUGGUAAAUGACGUACCACAAAGGUGAUAACUUAUUUAGUCUAGGUCUGGUAACUUUUGACCCAAAAAAAAAGUCGUCGAAACAUACCAAUAUGGGAUCUAGUGUCGAAGAUCUCGUCGCAACGAAUCUUUCAUGUGAAAACAGUUUUUAAACCGGAGCAACGGUUUAACCUACAAAAAUUUUAAAGUUUUAAAUUUGAUUUAAUUUUUGAUGACAUCAUCAGUUUUGUCCUAUAUGCAUGCAUGCACCUAUUAGGGAAAAAAUUAGACGAAUAUGUUUAUUUUUGUAUUAAAAAAAGAAUCAACACCCGGCAACAUCUGUUACUUAUCUUCCGGUCGACUGGAAGUUAGCACUGUCCUUACAAAAACUACCACAACUAGAUGCCACAAUUGGGCCUAAUUAUCGGCUCAUAUCACUCCGCUCUCUUCCCCAACCGCACGAGAGGCGAUUUGGGAGGAGAACCAAUGGCCCCUUCCUCCGGCGGCAAAGCCACAAGUCCCCACCUCCAUCGCCGGCCCAGGUGCUUAGGCUUCGGCCGGUAGUUAAGGUGCAAAAAAUUUAUUGUGGUUUCAAGUAGGACCUACAAAUAAGGCAGGCGAUAUCCUCCUUCAACCAUCUCGAACAAAGAUGGCAUCGUCUGGAUCUAAUGGGACAAAGCAGGUUCGUAUGCGAAGGUGCCCUUCUAGAUAUGGCUUCGGGCAGUGCAAGACGGUGCAAUAGGCGGUGCACCAAGGACUAUGGAACGGUGCGUUUUUUUUUUUGGGGGGGUCCUUCACCGUGCAGCUAAUACUCAUCCGCAGCCUGCACCAUGUUCUUCGUUUUGAAGCUUAAGGAGAUGUCGCGGGAGCUCAUAAACGAUAUCUGCGUGCAAUCAAAUGUUCAAUAUAGUACUAAGCCAAAGUAGCUUAGCAAAAUUCUUCAAAUUCUUCAAAUUUUGACAACAAAAAUUAAAUCCGAACAAACAAAGAGCUCAUUUCACCUGCCUAUAACAAGCUAAUUUCAUCAUGCGCCAAACAAGUCAACCAUCAAAAUUAAGCUCAAGGAUAAUAUUCAUUAAGUACUUUAAUUAGAAAAUACUCCCUUCAUUCCUAAAUAUUUGUCUUUCUAGAGAUCUCAAAAAUGACUACAUACGGAGCAAAAUGAGUGAAUCUACGCUUUAAAAUAUAUCUACAUACAUCCGUAUGCCGUAGUCCAUUUGGAAUCUCUGAAAAGACAAAUAUUUAGGAACGGAGGAAGUAACAAGGUGCAAAAAGUAACGAGCAGAUUAAAUGGCCGAUAAGAGUACUUGAGUAGAAACUAACAUACAACUCUGGCAAACUCAUGACAAUAGAGUACCCAUCAUGUUCAUGGUAAACUGCAUCAGGUACAAACCCAAGAAAGCUACUCCAGUAACAAAACUUACAAUGAUAAAGUACCCAUGUUCACGCAAAAUUGCAACAAUUACCAACCCAAGAAAACUGAAAGUAGCGGGUAGAUUUUUCCAACAAAGUGCAAAGGACUGUAACCAUCUUAAGCAGAGGCAGCAGGAGCCUUGGUGGCAGCAGAAAGCUUCGACCUCCUCUUGGCCAUGCUCUCACUCCGGCGGUCCCUCUGCUCCUUCAGCCUUUGUGCAAGCAGCUUCUGGUACUCCGCAGCCUCGGACUUCUUCUUGGCAAUCCUCUUCUUCUUGUCUGCGAUUCUGGCGCGCUUCCUCUGGAGGGUCAAGGGAGUCACAAGACGCUGGAUCUUGGGAGCCUUGCUCACCUUCUUGCCUGGAAAUAACAAUCAAUGUGAUCCAGGUAAGAAAGCGGUAAAUGAGAGACACAAAACUGCUCAGACAAGCACUAUGAUAUUAAAGGAAAUAGUAGUAACUUUCCUUAAGACAAGUGAAAGAUGGCAAAAUAACACAGCAGGAUCCACGAUGGAACAGGAAUAGGGCUAAUGCAGUAAACUAACACAGUUGAAAGCUCACCCUUCUUGUUAAGGAAGGUCCUGCGGUACGUGUUGACAUAGCUGCGGACAUCAUCGUCCUUGCCAAGGUUGAAGAGCUUCUUGAUCUUGGAAGCCCUCUUGGGUCCCCUCAUCCUGGGCUUCUCAGUGUCAGUAAGGCCUGGCAGAUCAUUCUCACCCUUCUUGACAAUGACCAAGUUGAUAACAGAUAGGUCUUGGCUGACAAUGCAACCACGGACGGAUUUCCGCCUGCGCUCACCAUUACGCCUGCCAAAACCACGGAAGCAAGGUGUGCCUGCAGAAUUGACGCAAAAGAGAUGCAGGUAAGAUUUCAAUCCAAGAGGGAAAAUGUAAGUAAUAAGAAGUACAAUGGAAAUAAAGUUAUACCCCUGUGAAGCAGAAGGCGGACACGCCCAGAAGUUAGCACUCCUUGCUUCAUCGGGAAACCCUGCUUAUCGCAGCCACCCAUGAUCUUGAAGAUGUAACCCUUGAAUUCCUGAAAAUACAGGAAAUGACAGAUAUCUUUGAUCAAACUAUCAAAACAUCCGGAAGGGUUAUUUAUCAUGAAAGAAGUUACUGGUAGAUUACCUCACCCAGAAGAUCACCAACUACCUCCUGGGAGAUUCUCUUGUCAUAAAGGUUGCGCCUGUAGUUCAUACCAAAAUGUUAGAUACAGCCAAACAAAACAAAAUGGAAACUCCAACGGGAAUAUUAUGUCAAUCAACAUACAUUAAUAUACUGAUCAUUAGCCACCCACUAAAAGCCUGCUUAUGGUGAUUUCAGAAGUAAACUACUUUGUUUUAUCACAAUGCCCAUAAAAUAGUUAAAACAGCUAAUUUCAUUAUGUCAUGGCAUCAUCCGUCAUAUUUUUGAAGCAGUUGAAAAAACAGUGCAACCUUGUUCAUGGCAUCACACGGUCCAUUCUUACCUAUGUUUUUCAAAACUAAAGUACUGAGCAUCAAAAGAUAUUUGAAGCCAUUCACUGUUAAUCAAGUUGUUAAGAAUGUGGGAAGGGUUGGAUAUGCUUAGCCAUCUAAUAUUGCUGUACGCUUGCUAAGUCGAAUACAAAUAUACAAUUUGAGAGUAAACAAUCUUAAUAUACAUUUAUCUGCAGCUCAAAGUAAGAAAAUAAACAUAGUGUGCUCGAUGCAAUUUGAAACCACACUGAAAAUAUAGCAAACAUCCUUGAUACAGUAUUACUGUUAUAAGAAGACUGUCAAUAGCCCUCAAAGAACUUUAAUUCCAGUCCACUCCAACAUCAAAAGCUUCAACAGGAUUCUAAUCGCACCAUAACACUUAUAAGAGCGUCCUAUUAACACACAAUCAUAAAUAAUGGUUCCACGCACAAGACUACAGCAUUCACGAUUCCACAAAAGUGGAAACAGAAACGCGAUUUCCCAAUAGCAAUCAAGCAUGGCGAUUCCACGACGCGGAUCUAAAGGGCGAAGGGCGAGAUGAGAAACACUCACAGCUUCUGGUCGUCAUCGAUCUCGACCUUCUUCUGGCACCCCGUGGUGGGGUUCGCGAUGUUCAACUGAAACCAAGGCAAAAACCACACGAAUCAGGCGUCGCACAGGAACAGAUCACAUCAGAGCGCAUCGGGAGGUGAGGAGAGCGCAGUCUCGGGUCAGAUAUGCGGGCAUCGGAAGGAGGGGAGAAGUGCGUACCUUCAUGGUGGAGUCGCGGCACGAGAUCGCCGGCGGCGAGCAACCCGAACGCUGGGUGGAGCGGCGGCGGCGCGGUUGCUCGAGGGGUAGGGUUUUGGGCGAAGAGGGUGCGGCGGAAAUGCGUGGAGCAGGUUAUAUAGGUGGGGGCGUUGAGUGGGCCGCUAUUGUCCAGCCACGGGCUCCGAAGUUGAUCUGGGCCUGAAGUACAAAAUGGGCUUGUGCCCGCAUAUAUGGGAGCGACACGUUUUUUCUAUAAAAAAAACUUGCAUGAUUGUAUGUUGAGGUGUGUCUUAUCUCAUCCAUAAUUAUAUAGUGAUGUGGCAUACUUGUAUGUUAAAAUAAAUAAGUUAGUGGGAUGACUCUUUUAGGUAUAAAAGAUUGUCAUUAGUUAAAUGCAGUUGCACUCUGGAUUGCCUCUUACAAAUGAUUUCAUUAUUAGUUAUUCCUUUCUUCGUAAGCACUUGACCGUCGUUAUUGCUACGGUAUGUUAUUGUCCAAUAUGCCAAAUUAUAUAUAUUAAGAACUGUGAAACCCAUAAGUGUUAUUACAUUUUGUUAGAAUGCACUCAUGUGCAUUGCAAGUAGAGAAACACAAUAAUAAUGGGAUUUGCGUGUGCGUUUUUGAUUCACGAGAAGGUAGAUACUACAUGGCGGGGUAAAAUCAGAUAAACUUUGUGCAUACAUUUUUCCUAGAUGGGAUGAAGUAAUUUUUUAUUCAACCUUACAUGCAGCUUACACUUCCAUUAACCUCCACAGGUUGGGGUGGAUGUGCUAUCUUUUAGGCACUACACUUCCAUUAACCUGAUAAUUGCAUGGGAUGAAAAGAGUUUUUUCUUCAACCUUACAUGCAACUUAUAAUUUCUCUAGCCUGGAAGUUGCAUGCAAAUAGUUUUUUAUUCUGACAACUUACCUUGCUUGAUUCACGAGAUAUUAGCAGUGCGGAGCUUUAUAACCCUGUGCUUACUUGAAUGUAGUAAAGAUCAUCCAACCUUCUUUCAAGGGUGGCGGCACAUCAAUUAGGUGGAACUGAGAUGUUGCUGUAUUGAGCACCAGCAUACCGGAGGCUCCCUUCCCAAAGGUCCAGUACACGAAUCCAUCAACCACCUUGCCAGGUUUGAAGGAGC
rnacentral:lncRNA from 1 species